rnacentral:lncRNA from 1 species
UAACAAUUUUUUUUACUAUAUAAUGUUAACUUUUAUUUUACUGCUACAAUUUUUUUCUAACAGAAAUGGUAACUUAAAAUUACAGUAGUUUAAUACUAAAUAAGGCCUAAUAACCUAUAAAUAUGAGUGGAUUUAUAAUGUAAGCAUGUAAUAUAAAAAAAAAUGGAAAAAAGAAAUAGUAGAACUUUGAAUGCAACUCUAAAUAAUUGGAGUUGUAGUGUUAGUGAUUUGUGUGUUAUGUCAGCUUCAUCCUUCAAUUAAUUAUAAAAAAGUAUCGACUCUCAAAUCAAAUUAAAAUACAACUCUAUAGUUAGGGGUGGGCAUUUGGUUCGGUUCAGUUAAACUAAACCAAACCAAAUUGUGUUAUGGUAGUUCAGUUCAGUUCGGAGCAUAAAAACCAAAUGGUUCAGAAUAUUUAGUUUUUAUUUGGUAAUGGUUCAAGAAAAUUGAAAUAAAAAUUAAAAAUAAUUUAAAAUUUAUCUUUCUUUUUUUUUUACUUUUAUUUGUUAGCUAAUACAUGUAAUUAUAUAUGUUGUAGCAUACACUUUAUUUUAUUCCAUUUAAUUGUUGCUUGGCUAAUGCUUCACUUUGACUUUGAGAGAUAAUGUAAGCAUUGUGGUUGUAGAAGUUAAAGAAUGGAGAAAUGAUAAUUGGAAGAGUGCUCAUGGGUAGUAGAAGUUUGAAGUUUAUUUUGUAAUAUAUGGUAAAUUUCUAUAUUAUUGUUGUACUUUAUUACGUUAACUUUUAUUGUUAGAUUUUAUUAUGUUGUUUAUUAUUUGUGUUUUUUUAGAGUAUUGUUGGACUUUAUUAUAUUAAUUUACUAUUAUUAGAUUUUAUUAUGUUGUUUAUUAUUUGUUGAUUUAUAAACUCAAGAUUGUUAUUGUAAUAAUAGUGUAUUACUAUUACAUUGUUUUUUAUUGAAUAAUGACAGAAUGAAACAAAACCAAGUCAAACCAAAUUAUAGUACUGAACCAAAUCGAAUUGAAUUAAUUUGAUUCGGUGCGGUUAAGUUCUAUAAUUUAGUUCGUAUUUAAUUCACAAAUUCAUGAACUAUUUAGUUUUAGUUUGAUUCGGUUAUGUGCCUAAACUGAAUCAAACCAAAUAGUGUCCACCCAUUCUAGUCAUCUAGUCCAUAACACGUAUAAAAUAUCUCAGUUGUUCCCACUUGCAAGCCUCUGAUCAUAUUGAAACUGCCUGUGUCUGCCUGAUCAUGAAUUGUCUCCCCUUUUUUUAUCUUUUUCACUGCCGACUGCUUUAGAUUUGAAAACAUGAGUGGGAGCAGAUCCAGAUUCUCCUUCAAUGUUGCAGCAAUAUUGCAAUUUGGCACAUUAAAUUUCUCCAAAAGUAGGUGGAACCAGCUUGCUUCUUUUUUUUUUCUUUCAGUGUAGUUGCUCCCCCACACUACCCUCAAUUGUUUCUAUUUCUCAAAAGUUGAAUGUGAUGCUUAAUUAAAUUUGCUUCAAUUUGUCAGCAGAAUAUACAAUUAUAGAGAUAAUUAUUAAAUUUGCACUUAUUGUUAUAAUAUGACAGUAAUCAUCAAUACUCUAAGAUGAAGCAGCACUAUAGCCACUAUCAUUUGAUAAACUGCCGACAAGUGGUAGAAUGUGAUUGAUUGUUAGAAAACCACCACUCUCGCUCCUGUGAAUAAAACUUGAUAAUAUAUAUAUAAUUGAGCAAGUUAAAUAAUUUGUAUAAUUACCUACUGAAUAUGCAUGGGCAUAAUAUUUGUGCUUAAAACAUUACUAAACAGAUGACAGUCAUUGAUUGGUGAGAUGAUAUUAAUUAGGAUACAAAUAUACAAAUAUUUGUAUCUCAAUUUUAUAAGUAUAUCAUUAUGCUUAAAUAGUUAAUUUUUCGACAUGAUUAAUUAAUUGGUCAUGUUCGGGUUGAUUCACAUUUUCAAAAAAUGAUCCGAGUUCCCGACCCAUCAGUAGAGACAAACAUUAUCCUAACAGUGUCUAGUGUUUGUGGUUAUUACAGCUUCAAUAUAACAAUACUGAAAAUUUCAAACAUCAAGUUUAAGGAGCUCAAAUGAAUAAUUAACUGAAUGCUUUUUAAAGUUUCAAAGUCAAUAGAAAUGCUUGAAGUUUCUUCCCAAAUAAAAAAACUAUUCCCAUUUCAUAUAUAUUUGGUCAGAUUCUGAUUAUAUGUUAGCAAAGUUUGCUUUAUUUAUCCUGUGGCUUGCGCAUCACUCAGCUGACUUGUGUUUCAUGAAUGAUUCUGUCUUUGCUUGCGAGUUCACAAAUGUUUUCAAGUUUCUGACUAGUAAUGUAUGUGUUGCUUUUUGCAGAUGCACAACUAAUUUAGUAAUUAGUAAAGCGCCAUAAUCAUCAGUUAGUUAUUUUAAUUAUUAGGGUUUUUCCUUUUCCCUUUGCUCUUCCAACUUAAUAUCUAAAAUCCAGUUGGGUCAUGAUUCAAAUAAAGUUAAUAAAUAAGUUUAUAAAGCAUGUGCUUUUGGGGUUCCACACUAUGAUAUUUCAAUACAAUUGAAAUGGUUGAUCCAAUGGUCUUUUCCAAGUGUUGAUGUAGGAUUAUUUAACGUAAAAUGGAUGCAUUUUUUAGCAAUUAUUGUUGAUUUGUCAUUGUUAUGAGUUUGUGAAUUAGAUAUAGGAUUUUUUUUUUUUUGACGUAAACUAGGUGCAUUUUUGAGCAAUUAUUGUGGAUUUGUCAUUAUUAUCAGUUCGUGAACUUUCUACUAUAAUUUCUUUUUGGCUUGUCAAAAAUCGUCUUCUGAUCUGCCUUUUCUCUCUGUACCCUUUUUGGCUAUAGGCUGCAUCAUUUUGGUCCUUUAAUUUGCAGAAUAAGUUUGGAGUACAAGUUCCGCAAUCACUGCAACCAACUUUGAUGAUACAUAUGAGGAAAAAUAACAUCCACAUUCUCAAGGUUUCUUCCGAUAAACAGUUAGAUUCUACCGUUUAUAAAUAGUUAAAUUUCCACUAUUUCAUAAAUAAAUAUUUGAACCUUUUUUCCUUCAUGUAUUAAGAUGGAAAUGAUGAUAUUAUUGUACGUGAAUAUUCUUUUCACUGUCUAAAAUAAAUAGAAUUCACCAACAGAAAAAAUUUGCGUGGAAACGUAACUAUAUAUUUCUUAAAAAUUAAGAAGUUAAACCGUCGAUUGAGACAAAUCUUGAGAAUCUAAAUGUGAGAUAAUACCGAGAAUUGAUAUUAAAUGGAUAACAAAUUUUAAGUUUAAGUUGUCAAAGUGUAUUUUUGUUAGCUAAACCCUGCGUUGAUUUGGAUAAUAUGAGAGAUCAAAGUGCAAUUUUGAACGGAAAAAGUACAGAUUCAUUAAAGGUGAAUUAAAUCCAAAUUUGCUCAUAGUUAUUGGUUUCGGUUACUAGCCAGCAGUUGGUAAUGUUAACUUAUCGAACGCUCGGUCGGUAGGUAAAAGAUGAAAUGGAGCCAAUGGAGGUGGCGUGUUGAAUCUUCAAAAUCGCAGAGGGCGGCAACAACAAGAACUAAUAAGCUUCUUCUCCAAUUCAUCUUCCCCAUUGGUCCUUUUUGUUUCCUUUUCUGCUAUCGCCAUUAUUACGGCCUCCAACCUCGCAGGGAGGUUAAAGUGGCAUGAUUUAAAAAAUGAAAAAAAUUGCUUUACCUAUUAGUCUAGGACAAAGUAAUCAUAUGCUAUUGAGACAACUCCAUUUAAGUAAAGUUUAAACUGAUCCACUUCUAUCAUUUUUCAUCCCCUUCUUCUCUCUCCAUGAAUCAUUGGAGGUGUUAGUUAAUUGAUUACCGAAAUCUGAUAAAUUUAACACCUCCUUUUGUCAGUUUAUAGCCCCCACAGGAAAGCAGUAUGCAGAUUAAUAAUAUUUCAUCAACCAAUUCUGUCCUCAUACCUCAUAUAGCAGGAUCACACAGAACAGCUCAAUAAGGCCAUUAUUGAAGCUUUUGCUGCAACAGUUUUCAUUUGAAAAAUACACCUCUCCUUUCAUCUGAAUGCAAAAUUAAUCUACAAAUAAAUGUCUUCUCAUAGACAAGUAGCAUACAAAUGAAUCAUAAUACAACAAAUGAUGAAACAGAUUGAUUCAGUAGAGUAUUCAUAAUAAUGGCUAUUGUAGUAACCCCGUUUAUUCCUGAUGAGUGAAUGACAGAUUAAAGGGGGUGCCAACAGAAUCUAAAUACAGAAAAGAAUGAUGAUCAAGAACAUAUGACAAACCCAAAUUGAGAAACAAACCGAAAAGCACAUCCACACAGAGAAAAAGGGAAGCAAAUAUGUGGCUUAAGCCUUAAUCAAAGAAUUCCCAAGGGAACUUCGGUGGGCCUGAAGAAUUAUUAUUAUUGUUUGUGGCAGGAUUGAAUGUGGAUGUGGAUGAUGAAGAGACCUGCAUCAAUCCCGGGCUUGAAUCAAAAGUCUCCCAUUUCGUGGUCACGACAACCGGUCCUGAUGUCGAAUGCGUUGUUGAUUGUUGUUGUUGUUGUUGUUGCUGCUGCUGGUGGUACUGUUGCUGUAUAGACAAGUUUUCAAAAGAAUGUCUUGCUUGUUGCUCUUGAAUUGAUGCUAAUACAUGCCCAUUAGAAUGCCUUGGUGGCUGCUGCUGCGGCUGCUCUUGGAUUGGUGCUAAUCUUUGCCCAUUUGAAUGAUGCUUAUUGCUACUAGGCAUAGAGUUUUUAAUCUUUAACAUGUCCAAAGUUUCAACAUACUUUUGAACUCUUCUCACCUUCAUCAACACAAUCACUGGACUAGUAAGACUCCUAAAAACUUCUACAAUCCAAUUCAAAUUAAAUAUAUAAAAUAUUAAAAAAAAAAUUACCUGCAUUUUUCUCUGUAGCUUCACAUCUCCAUCGGCCAUAAUACCAUCCAACUUAAGUAACUGAUUCAUCAGCAAUUCAAUCAAAUUGAGCACAUCUUUCUCGGCCACUUUCCCACCUUUAGUGAUUAUUGAUUCAAGAGCCGACACCUACCCAACAUUCCAAUUCCAAUAAAAAAUCAAUCUAACAAUACCCCCAAAAACACACACACACACACACGUUUAAAGGAUGGGGUCUAAAAAGUGGGGGGAAAAAAAAAGUCACCUGGCCGGCUAGGCGGUCAACUUCCAAGCUAAUUUCGGAAAUAGACUUAGAAGCCUUCUCCAAUUUGGCAUUCUUUCUCAUCUCAAGCAACCGUUUCUCUUGGCUAAUUGGGUCCUCAACAAGCACAAGUUUUGACUUGUCCUUCACCCCGACCACGUCGAGAAACGCCUUGGAAUCCCUUUCUUUAUCUUUAUAUAUCAGCUUUUGAUCCUCAUGAUGCAACCCCGUCGGCCCUGUUAACAAUUUCUUCAACUCCCCUGCAAUCAUCAAAAAUUCAAAUAAAUGAAAAAAAAACUUGUCAACUCCACUUUGACUUCCCAAUUGCAAGCAACAAAGAAAGUGAGGACUCUUAGUAUUAUUAUUAAUUUACCAAAUGUAGCUUGAGAGUUGAUAUGGAUUUCGUGGUAAAUAGAACCGUAUUUGACCCGAACCCGAAUUGUCGGUGGCGGGGCGGAUGUCCGAUCAGAAUCCGGAUUCCGCUUCUGUACAAGCAUUCCACCGGGUCUGAGCUCCCACUCAUGAGCUGCUGCCUCAGCUGAACCGCCAUUCAUCAUCGCCAUCGGUGACGGCCCUGUCGUUUUAGACGUCUUCAUUCUCAUCAUUUUUUUUUAAUGACUCUUUAAAUCUUCAAACUUAUUUCCCCUUUUCCGUUACAGAACUGUAAUCUUUGACUUGACGCAAAUAAAGAAAAACAGGAAAAAAAAGCAAAAACUCUUCAGUUUUUCAGAUCUUUUAUGACAGACGAUCUGUAACAGAAAUCAUAGAUACCCAGUUGACGCAAAAGCUUCACAGUCCGCAGCAUUACACACGAGAGAGAGAGAGAGAGUCUAAAAUAAUAAUAAUAAUAAUAAUAAUAAGCCGCCUCCUCAGAUCUCUUGAGAGUCAACGUAAUAAAAGUUGCCAAACAAUGUUGUAACAGCGAUUUUUCCCGAGAAAGUGACGGAAAAAUAAAUGGGAAGAUGGGGAUUUCAAAGUGAGAGAAUUUUCUUCUCUGGAAAUCUCUAGUGGGAUGAAGAGAGAAAAAGGAGAAGGGUUAAAAAUGAACAUGAAUAUGAAAAUAAAACGAGUGGACAGCUAACAGAGACUUCUUGUUGUGAGCUGAGAACAACACAUAUUAUAUAAUUUAUAUUAAUAAAAACUAAAUCAAUUUUACAUAAUUAAUAUUUAUUUUUAUUGUUUAUAAUAAUACUAAAAUAAUAAAAAAAAGCAUAAAAGAAAGGCAAGGAAGAAGCUACGAUGCAAAAGCCGCCAAAGCUUCCGUUUAAAGGUUAAAAAAAAAGGGAACCAAAGGGGAAACUCGGGAGUUUGGUCUUUCACCAAACACGUGGGAAUAAUCAAGUACAUAACGCUUCAAGUCAAAAAGUCCUGGCCACCAGUCGUUUGAUUACACGUGUGGAAUGGAAGGGUAUUGUGGGGAAUUCUCAGGGAUCCAAUCAUUGUCUUGUUAAUGAUGAAGAGUAGUUCGCAUAAAGAAGAUCGGUAAGUUCUUACAUGUGGCGGUUUCCGCCGAUGGUGUAUAUGCCACGUAGAGUGUCUAGUCAAGGUUGUUUUUUUCCCUUGCUUCGCCGGAACCUUCUGAAAGAUUGCUUCACUACGGUGACGUUUUCCCUGUCCACAUGCUAUAAAUUUUUAUAUUGAAAAAGUUUUUUUAGUGAAAAAAAAUAAGAAUUUAUCUAUUUUUAUAAAGGACUAUUCAAUAAAAGAAAUAAAAGAUGCAGAUAAAUCUUCUUUCUAUACCCAAUUUUUCUCAAGACAAGUAUAAGAGACUUGAAAAAAAAGAAAAUUAUUUCUAUUUGGGUUUCGCUGAAUCGCUUUGUCUUUUAUUACGAAAGCAAAAUCGAUAAAAAAAGGACUAAAGAGACAUUUCACAUUAUUGAAAGAAAAAGACCACGUCAAGGCCUUGGUGAAAACCAAGUGAAAUGGAACAGGGCUUUCGUCGGAGCACUGUAAACGCCACGUGGCAUCGUCGAUAACAUCAAAGAUCGUACCCAAAAUCUAGGUCCCGCCUGUCUUUUUUAUUUUUAUUUUUUUCACUUUUAUUCUUUCGUAUAUUUCCCUCACUUCAUGACUCGACUUCACAAACAGCCACCGACACUCACACACGUGCAGAUCGCGCGGGAGUUUUUGUCUCGCACGUGGCAUGCUGCUGAGCCGUUGAACGAGCGCAGAUCCCACGUGGGAGCCGUGCGGGGUGAGGUGGGAUUGUCUGCAUUACGCAAUUGGAUUGGGACCGUGCAACCUACUUGUAAGGCGGGCGGUCGUAAUUGACUAAUGGCCUAAUGUGGGGGGGGGGGGGGGGGGGGGGGGGGGUGGUUAUGUCUAGAGACAAUUAAUUGAUUAAAUAAUUGGGUGAUGGAUUAAUUAAUUAGUUGUGAUUAAUUUAGUAAAUUUAGGGUUUCGAGCAGUUGGGUUUUUGGGACAUGUUUGAUGAGAGACAAGGUACCGACCAAUUGGAAUAAUUUAAUUUUGGAAAUUACAAAGAGAAUUUGCUUGCCUUGGGUUGCCCGCCACUGGUUUUAUACAAUUCCUGUGGGACUGGCCUUAUAUCACGCACGUGACUUUGCAAUGGGGUUCACCUUCUUCAUAAUUUUUUUUUUUAUUUAACUUUCAUUUUCCCAUAAUACCAAACGCAUAAAUCAUAAUACACACUGCUUCUCUCAAAAUGUAUUUCUUUUUUUGGGUAAAGGUUUUUAAUACCAAUGUCUAAUGAUAAAAUUUUAAUGUUGAAAUAAAUUGUGUUGUUAAUUUGAGUGUCGGUUGGAUUUUUUCUCAUUACAAGAGUAGAUUCUCUUAAUUUAAGAUAGAUUUUUUUUUUGGGGACAAAAUCAAGAAUUUCAAAACGUGUUAUAAUAUCUGACUAAACAUAUUUGUAUAAAAAGUAAAUAGCUAGUCAAUACAACAAGCAAAAUAUUUCUUCACUCAAAUAUAUGUCGUGUCUUCGAAAACUCAUUAUUAUUCCAAAUGAUAAAAUAAUCUUCUCUGCUUGAAAUAAAUGAUCCCAUAAAUAAGAAAAUAGGAGUGGCUAGAUAUUGAUUUCCUUGACACAAAUUAUGGCCUUAUAAUGAAUCAAACAUCAAGAUUAUACUAUCGUAUAUAAAUUUAGAUUCUCGAUAGGCUAAAGUAUUUUGUAAUUUGAUGAUAAUUCGAAAAGGACACAUUGAUUCAAGCAAGACAUCCUUAUCCCAUGCCUUCAUGGCUUCACUCCACUUUCUUGGAAAAUAAUAAAAGCUAACUUCAAGUAUAAAUGAGAGAGACGUACUAAUCGUACGUGGGGAGGAGAAUCAAGAACGACAAGAUGAAAAUAGAUCUCCACCAUUCUACUUCUUGACGUGUGCCGUGUCCUCUACUCAUUUGAAGCUCUUAACAACUUCAUUAAUGGCUUCAUGAGCACGUAUAUACAAUUUAAUUGUUUAUCGUCCAAUUAAAAUCGAAUAUUGUCACUGCCAAAUGAAACCAAAAAUGUACAAGCAUUCAGGCCGAACUAUAAGUUUGUACAUCUAGUGUCUUAAUGUAUGCAUUAAUUCACUCUCUCUUUUUUUUUCUGAGGCCUUAAUUUUAUAUUUAUUGAUCAAUGUGUUUGGAAUUUAUUAAAAUCAAGUGAGAAUAAUCUGGUUGCAAUCUUAUACGAAAGAGCAAAGAGUACCAUUUUGUACGUUUCUUCACAAAUGCCUCAAUCUAAAUAAUAAUGCUUUCCAUAAUUUCCUAAGGGUGAAAUUAGGGUCGGUGGGAGGUCUCUUCAAUCGCGAUUCGUUAGUUUCUAAAUCAAAAUCGAAAAUGAGAAUCCAACAACUCAAACCAAAAUUAAUACGAAAGUUAAGAAGAUAUGCAAAAAUUAAAAUACGAAAGUUGAAAGGUGAACUGAUUUCCAAAAUCAUUUUAAAUAUUUCUGAUGCAACGUACUGGUUAUCUAUAUUUAUUUCUGCGAAUGACUUGCCAUCAGAGUAAUCAGCUACCAAAAUAUUAAACUAAAACUGAAAAUAAGAAAUUCUCUCUUGUGACCCAGAUAAUAUUUAUUCUUUACGCACACCGGCUGGUAAAUUAAUAAUUACAUUAACCAAAAUCUUCUUCUUACUAAUAGUUGUCAGAUAAUGUCAUAUCCAUCAUUUUCGAGUUCAUUAUCAGAGUCAAGGUUUCAUUUUUGAAUCUCCAUAAACCACAUGUUCGCAGUAGGUCAAGAUUUGUUUUUGAAACCGGAUCCAUGUGUCAUAACGAGGAGCAUGUUUAGACUUAUUUUUAAUAUCCAUGCUAGCUUUUGGAUCAAACAGUUUUACUAACAUGACACUCGAAUCUUCAUAUGUAAACACAAUUGGCCAAGUCUGUCUUUGAAAUCAGAUCCUUGUUUCACAUUAUGAAGCAUGUUAAGGCUUAUAUCGUUAAAUUUUGGAUUAAACUGUUCCAAUAGCAUGACAUGAAUGCCCACGAGUUGAUACUCGGCCACGUUUUACAUGGAAGGGCUUGGCGAAACUUAGUUUUGGUACUGAUGUUAGUUCUUGGGACAAAGAGUUUCGGCAACGGUUUGCAUUGUUGACACUUGAGAGGGCAUGAAAAUGACAGAACAAGGUGCGUGGCUUUGGUCGAUGGGUGCUGCAUGCAUGGUGACGGUGGGGGUGAGUACUUAUGCUUAGCUUUAAGCAUAGGCAAAGCCAAGCACAUGGAUUGCAUACCGCACAAGGCAGCUCUUAUUAUUCACUUGGGAAAUAAAGCAACACGCUUUGUUCUCUUCCCAGAUCAAUGAUCAGCUUUGCUUGAUUUUGACACAUAUCCUGCUGCCGCUAGUUGUCAACCGCACACUAUAUCGGCCCAGGACCACUCAUUAAAUUUCCCCUUACUAGUUCUUGAGUUUUAUAUUAUUUUUGUUGUUGCUUUUUAAUAAUUCAGUAUAAAUAAUACAACAAAAAAAAUGCUGGUCCGACAUUUUGAUGAGCGAAAUUAUUAGGUGAUAUUGCUUUAUAAUCUAUUUCGUCAACUCGAUCUAUUCAUGAUAGGACACAGCAUACUCAUCUCGUAUGCAUUGUUAUAUUAUCUAAAGUUAACAACAUCCCUACUAGAAUUUUUUUGAAUUAUAUAUAUAUAUUUUUUGUUUCUUUUAAAUAAUUAAGUACAAGAAUUAAAAAAAAAAAAUUGGUCUAAUUACAACAACACAACUUUACUCAUAUUUCGUAAGCGCACAAUGCACAUUCAUAGGUGACACCACCACUCAUAUUAUGUGAUAAGUAAUGUUAUCCUAAAAUAAGUCUUAAUAAUUGACCAAGUCAACUCCAUUUACUGUAUAAGACAUGAUGAAAUUGCGUCGGUUGUGUUCUAUAAGAUGGUCAUAUAAUAUGGGUGACAUCCUUCGCUAGAGUACUCAUAUAGAGUGAGCAAUUACUUUACAGUUUACAGCCACCAUAAUAAACUUUUUUUAAGUCCUUUUCUUGAGGGCUGAUUAAAAUAAAGGAAGAAGAGACUAAGGGGGGGGGGGGGGGGGAAAGUAAAAUUUGCUUAUUCAGGUAUGGUGGAGAGAGAUAGGAAAGUAAAAUGAUGUGGGUAUUAUGUAAUGUUAGAAAUAACACUAUGAUUGGAGGUGGGAUUGGUGUGCUGUCUCUAAUUGCGACACUUGGUCUAAAUGCCACUUUUUGGUAGUAAGAUGCAUGUACAUGAUUGCUUCUGUUACUGUUGAUUGCUUUGUAAUCUCCAAUUGACGGUCACUAUCCGCGUGGCCUGCCAGCUCAUCAUCAAGUGCAAAUUUCUUGUUUUGGGCCAAGCUCAACUAUGAUUACGAAUCUGUCCUUCAGAUGCACAGUCAAUUGAUCAGAGCCACUUUUUCUGCAUACUAUUUUUUUUUUCCUGAUCAAUAAUGUUACAAAGUCAAUUAAUCAGAGCCAUACAGUGAUGCGAUCAUGCGAAUGAUUGAUAAUAGUAUUUACUAUGAAUGUUUAUAUUGUUAUAUUUUUUUUUUAAAAAAAAAGAGAGAUUUUCAAUUUGUCAUUGUCAAUUUAUUUGUUGAAAUUAAUGACACCAUCUCUUAUAGUCCAUUCCAAAAUUUUCAUGUAUGGACCAUUUGAUCUUAAAGUUGCUUUAAUAAUGUGACUCUGGGCACGAUUGAAAAAGCUAUGAUGAAGAGAAAUUGCAUGAGAAUCCAAAACUCAUGCCAAUAGUUCAUAAAAAUUAUUGGGCCAUGCAUUAUUAUAUACAAACUUGAUGUUAAGACAAAACCGAAUUGUUACAUUUUUCUCUCUACUCCUAUCGCACAUGCUGACAUGCAUGUCAUUGUCUCAAAAAUCCCCUCCAACCAAGGCAUAUCAAAGCAAAAACCUUAUCCUCUAUCGUAAAGCAUAUGGUAAAAGAAAGCUUAUCAACAAGAAGCAUUAACCCAAUUGAGCUUGUAGAUAAUUUCGAGUAGCCAUGGCAACUUUGGGCUGCCAAUUUCAUUGCAGAAUGCAUCACAUUUCUCAAAAUGUUAAAGCCAAGCGUUUCAUUUCUUGCUCAACGAAUCCCCCACAAAGUAAUAUUAAGGUAACUAUUGGGUUCCUUUUCCAACAAGUUUUUCUUCGUACAAAUACCUAAAGGGGAAUUAAUCUCUCUCUUGUAAAGAUAGGUUAUUAUAAAUGGAGCAGUGAAAGAAAUAGGACGAGCAGCAGUAAUUGCCGUCACGAAAGCCAGAGGGAUGGAGGUUGCUGGCGCCAUCGAUUCCCAUUCUGUAGGAGAAGAUAUUGGAAUGGUAUUGAGUUCAUAUCACUUUUUAACUAUUUAUUUCCCCUGUAUUCUGAAGAAUACUAAUCCAAGAACAUUAGUAUGACAAUGAUAAUUCUCUUUUCUAUCGUUUUGUCGCACCUUCCUUCAUAGGUGUGUGAUAUGGAGCAGCCUCUGGAAAUUCCUGUAAUGAGUGACCUCACAAUGGUAUUAGGUUCCAUAUCUCAGGUAACAUUCCUUUACGUUUGCCUCUCUUUCACAAAACUCGAAAUCUUACAAACCUUUGGUUUCUGAUACACUUGUUGAUGGGAUUCUGGCAGUCAAAAGCAAGAGCAGUCGUCAUUGAUUUCACAGAUGCUUCAACAGUUUAUGACAAUGUGAAACAGGUUUGAUAUCCAUGAGAACAUAUUAUCCUUAACUCAUGUUCCUAAAGCAACCGUAAAUUCACUAUUUGAGACUUUCUUUCUGCAUACAAUCAAUUACCAGGCAACAGCAUUUGGAAUGAGAAGCGUGGUUUACGUGCCACACAUUCAGCUGGAGACAGUUUCAGCAUUAUCUGCAUUCUGUGACAAGGCCAGCAUGGUGAGCACAGGGUGAGAGCUUAUUUACAUUUGAAUGUCCUUUUUGUUUAUCCUGCAGUAGUCCGGCAACUGUCAUAUCUAAAUUACAAUGAUUUAGAUCAAAUUACUCCCGCAUUUCAUUUGGUUGCAUUCUCGACAGGGAUGUCUUAUUGCACCAACUCUCUCAAUAGGAUCUAUUCUUCUCCAGCAAGCCGCCAUUUCUGCCUCCUUCCACUACAAGAAUGUGGAAAUUGUAGAAUCAAGGCCAAAUGCAAGAGUAAGAUAUAUGACUAGAACUUUAAUUUCCAUGCAGGUCUGUCUGAGGCACAUUUACUUAUAUCCAAAGUUCCAAAAUAACAAUAGUUUCCACACUAAGAGAAAACUAAAGAUUGCCAGUAGCAUUAUCGGCGUGGGUGAGAUAUUAAUUUUAAGUAAAAUCUUACCCAGCGCACAAAAGAAUUGACGAAGACAAAAUCGUCUUUAAUGAUCAGGAUUUUCCAUCACCAGAUGCAACUCAAAUCGCCAACAACCUCUCCAACCUUGGUCAGAUCUACAACAGAGAAGAUAUUUCAACAGACGUGAAAGUAAGUUGACAUUUUAAAUCACAGCAUGUCAGCACCACAUUGAUAUUAAACAUGAGGCCUUUUCUUUAAACUUUAGUUUUUCCUUUCUGCUCAAUAAGCUUACUAAAAGACUCGGGUUUCAGGACUUCACAUUAGAUACUUUCAUGAGCAGUGAGUCAACUAGCUUCCUAACAGAGUUAACUAAACUUAAAGGAUAACACCAUAUUAAUCGCAGAAAACAGAAAAGUCAAAGAUAAAUUCAUUGACAAUGGAUUAUAUCAUUACAAGAUUUAACAGAAGAAGAUAUAAUUUGAAGCUUUGAAUACUGCUCUAGAGAACAAUAAUUUGUGAUGACUCAUUUUUCAUGUUCCCCUCCCAGGCAAGGGGUCAAGUCCUGGGAGAAGAUGGAGUUCGUGUGCACAGUAUGGUCCUUCCAGGGCUUCCAUCUAGUACAACGGUUUACUUUUCUAGGCCAGGAGAGGUAGUUUUUUCUUUUUCUUUUUCUUUUUUUUUAUUUUUUUAUUUUUUUAUUUUUUUAAACUUUUUAGAAGUAGAAGAAACCUAGAUUUGAAUAUUUUACCUCUGUCUGAUCCCUUAGUGAUGCUGGCCACAGGUAUACUCCAUCAAACAUGAUAUCACAGAUGUGCAGAGUCUCAUGCCCGGCCUGAUCUUGGCUAUAAGAAAGGUCGUGCAUCUUAAGGUAACCAAUCACAUAAUAUUUCAAACAGUCUGCAUCAACUAAUCACAAAAUAAAACAACUCUUAUUACCUUUUUUUUUCUUUUUCCUUUUUUUGGGGCAGAAUCUGGUGUAUGGUUUGGAAAAGUUCUUGUAGGGACCCAAACUGCUCUUUGACAUCCUUUGUAUACUGUUAAACCAAGUUAUUGAAUUUAUAGAGGAUGCACAUCAUGGUUUACUGGGCAGAACCAGUUAAUGACUUUGGAGAAAUUUUGUUGACACAAGUAUUAUUCAAUCUCCACAAUGUACAACGUAAGCCUUGAAAUGAUUCAAGGGCGAUACAUAUCGUCCUGCAGACAUAUUUGACGGAGGAAGCUUAUGUAAAAAAAUGAGAAGGAAAAGGCAUUUUCAAUCAUUUUCUUUCACUACAAAAUGUAAUUUGAUGAAUUUUCAUGGGAUAUAAUAGUUGCUAAGUUUGGGUUAAAGAAGGCUUCUUUUCUUUCAGAUAUUACAUAAAUAUUUCCAUAUGAACAAGGUAAAAAUGUUCCAGCCAAUACUGACAGAUGAUAUUCUUGAAAUAAUUUUAUUCUCAACAAAGAAGGUGAAAAAACAUGUGGCAAUAGUUACUGAUCAUUCCUAUUUAUAGAAGUUGUCAACAAAACCAUGACACCAAAAUUUUGGGGACAAAAACAUUUUCCAACAUCUACUUAUAAGCAUUAUGGGUAAACCUUUCCACCUGGCCAUGCCAGUAACAUAUGUGUUCAAACUACAAUAAGAAACAUUUCACUCACUUUGAGGCAGUGGAACUUUAAGAGCGCAUAAUAUAACUUCCAUGAUUGAAUUAUUCCACUCUUGCAUUCCGAUCAAGCAAGUCAUGCACCACAGCUUCAACGCAGAUCUACAACACAAUGUAAAUGAACAAAAGGGAUGGUGGACUUGCUCAUUGUAUUAAACAAGAAACAAAAUUUUAUCUAAACUGGAAACCCAAUAUCAACGAAAAAAAAGAAGAAAUAUAUAGCAGGAUUUGAACUGUAUCUCUAACUAAUUAAAAGACACAACUGCCAAUUUCAUUUCAAAUCUAUCCAGAUGCUCUUACCUCUGAACUUGUUUGAAACUGCUUUGAUCCAGGCUCUAUCUUUAUGGCUAUAAGCAUACGUCAUGCUUGAAGCCAAUAGUACAAACCCUUCAAUCUUUUCCACCUCAACAGCACUAGGAUUUGGAGCUUGUAUCACGGGCUGAACAAAGACAGAACAAGUCCCCUUUGGGAGCAUCUCCCACUGUCCAGCAUCUGUGACAUUGAUCAAACUUUCAUAUUGAUAAACAAUUAGAGAACCAUAGAAUAUGACUAUGAUUUUAGUGNNNNNNNNNNNNNNNNNNNNNNNNNNNNNNNNNNNNNNNNNNNNNNNNNNNNNNNNNNNNNNNNNNNNNNNNNNNNNNNNNNNNNNNNNNNNNNNNNNNNNNNNNNNNNNNNNNNNNNNNNNNNNNNNNNNNNNNNNNNNNNNNNNNNNNNNNNNNNUCUCAACAAUACAAAGAAAGUUGGACAAUGACAAUGAUUCUUCAUCGUGCAAGUUCAGCUGUGAAUCUAAUCUAUGCCACAGAUGAGUAAAUAAGUCAAUAACCAUAUAAAAGGACUGGUCUGAAGGAACACAAGGGAGUCCAUAACGAAACAUAAUUAUAGAACCAUCUAUUUCCAGGCUCAGUUUCUGUCCACUCCAAAACCUAAGUAAUAGUAUCAUAAAUAUACUAAUGGAAUCUUCUUACACUACAAAUGUUUGCAAUGCAUAUGCCUCAAACAACUGCAAGCUGAUAUAUUACCAGCAGGCUAACCAGCAUCUGGAAGCUUUGACAUCUGUUUGGCUAGGUUAAAAAGAAAAAAGGUUCUCCCUUCAAGCCACUAAACCAGAAUUGACCUGAAGGCCCCUUAACCAUAAUGUAAAUGUAUUAUUAAUGAUGGGCACAAUCAUAGAGAAAGUCAAUACCAAGUGCCCCUUUGGUAAGGCUUCUCUACUGGCCACAAGGCCCACAACUUAAUGCCAAAAACUCUUUUUAAUUUUUUCACCCUUGUUUAGAUGUAAUUGAAAGAGAUUGAGAAAUUCUAGAAUCCCUAAAAGUUGUUAAGAAGAUAAUUAUGGUGCAUAUGAAAAGAUAAGCACUUCAUACGUACGAUUGUUUUUAUCUACAGAACAGGCUUAUUAUUUACCUGCACUCUGAGGAAAAUAAAGGCUGUCCUUCAAAUCAGAAAGGCCAAUAUUUUCAAUCUGUCUCUCAAACCAUUCAAGUAAUUGAGUUUUUGAUGCACCAUCUGGUGUUUGCCAGUAGCCACGUACGCAUAACUCACCUCGAAUCGAUAUCAACUGGAAAUUUUAGACAACUAACAGUUUAUAAAAGUUUGACAUCGAUCAAGAAUUUAAAAAAAAAAAGCAACUGUAAGAACUUUGUAUUAAACGGUUAGUUUGAGAAGAUACCACAGAUAUGGAGUUUGUGUUACGCAAUAAAACAUAUGUUGCCCAAGCCAGAUUCUCCUUUAAAGCAUCAGAAAUAUUUUGCGACAUGACGAAUAUUUGCUCGCCACUUUCCGGAAGAGAUUUCUGACUUACUGGACUCGCACCCUGCUUGAUUUCCCACACCAUCACAUCAUAUGAACAAAAAAGUGAGCACCAGAUGCAAGCACACAUAUAUUUGUAACUACUGUGCUUCUCCGUUCUGCUUUAAUUUGAAAGCAUAAUGUGUUUCAUAAACACACAAUUUUCCUUUGCAGCUAAUGUUUACUAAUCACUGAUAUCUUUAUACUAGACAGCUGGUUAUUUCGUUAAUAUAUUAAACAGCGACCAUUAAAUGUUCAAAUUCAUGAAGAAACUGCAAAUAAACAGCAAGAGAAAAAAGUUACCUUGAGGAAUUUACCGAGGUAAGGCAGGGUGACAGAGAAUGCAGCCAAAGAAAGACCUAGAACUUCCGAUCUCUGUGAUCAAAGAAUCAAAUUAAAUUACCAAAAACAAAUCCAAUUAAACCAAAAAAAAAAUUGCUAAUUGCUAACCAGCUGUGCUGACGUGACGGAAUUUGAAAACGCGAAGUGAUUCAAUACAAUAAGCGAGCCGAAGCCGUAGCCGAUCCAUCUCGGUAAAUACGACUCGUCGAAUCCAGGUAUACCUGCAACCAAACAGAAGUAUUCGAUUUUAACUUUAACAAGAAGAGCAAAAGUUUGUAGAUGCAAAUUGCGCGAGUGAGUGACAGCGUGUGUUUGUGUUACCGAAUGUGAAGCGAAGAACGGAGAGAUUGAGCUGCUGUUCUUCUUGUUGUGAAUUGUCGAGGCGAGCACAGAUUGAAAAUGAUUUUCUGGUGGUUUUGGCACAAGAAUGAGAGGGAAUUUUCAACUGCAUUAACGAAUUGUACGGGAGGAUGCUCAUUUCGCUUUAGUCUUUGUUUGGGAGUUUUGGGAGGAUUAACAAAAAUUUGGCUGAUUAGAGCAGACCGUGUUGGUGCUGCCGCUCUAUCCGGCCUGGAUAGGCUGCCGUAACUUGGUAACAAAUAGAAACUCCGAAUUCAAAAAUAGAAUUUUUUUUUUUUUUUUUUGUCCUGUAUGUUAUAAAAUAGAGUAACGAUAUAAUCUCAUUUAUAAAUUUAUUUUAUAUAAAUUAAAGUGAUAUUAAUUUAUCAAUUAAAUUAAAUAUUUUUUAAUUUAUAUAAUUUAUUUUUAUUUAACUAAUAAAUAAAUAAUAUAUUAAUUUAUAUAAAAUAAAUUUAUACAAAAAUUUAUAAUUAUAUCACCAUUUUAUAAAAUAACUUUUACUUUAAAAAAAAAUUGACAUGCAUUGGAAUCGAUUGGGUUAGGCAGCUAUUGAGCCCAUGGGCGAGGCCGGUCCAAGAUUAAUGAGAUGCCAUGGCGGGUUGGUCUUUUUGGCUAAUCGACCCGCUGAGUUUAAUGAAACUGGAAACCGGUGAGUCACUGUUUUGCUUAGCCAACAGGACCAACAAUACCGUGGUUUUUGCUGGUUAUUUGAGCGUUCUAAUUCGUUGCACGUGUGUACUCACCGAUUCAAACAAUGUUUUAUAGUUUGGAUCAGCUAACAAAAAAUAUUCUUGUUUUUUUUCGGAUUUUUUAUUUUAUUUUUUUAGUUAAACGAUAAGAUUGUCCUAAAUUGCCAGUAGAUUUUUAUGAAUGGUUUAGACCAACAGAAAUGUUAAUAUUUUUUAUUUAUUUGAAGAUUUCUGUUAUAACAAGAUUUUUGUACUGAGUAGUGUUAGGUUUAUCAUAAUAUUUAAGUUUUAAUUUGAAUUUUAAUUAAUGUAGUAUUUAUUUAUUAAAUAAUAAUUAAUUUAUUUUACAAGUUAUAAAAUUUAUCAUCUAAUAGAUGAGUGAUACAUUAUAAUAGACUUCAAAUAUUGGAAUUCUAACAUUAUUAUCUUACAAGUUAAAUUACAAAAUAGCCAAACCCGAAAAUGUUAAUUAAAUGGGUCGGCAUAUAUUUCAGUCAGAUCGUGGGGUACCGUUAAAAUCUUUUCUAAUGUUAAAUCAUGUGAGUAAAGAAGUAUUAAAACUUUAAAUUAAAGUAGCUCUCAUGAGAAAAGUUGUUACAUUCCUUAAUCAACAAACAUACAUGAUAAAGAUACACAAUAAAGUUAAACUCAAUCACAUUCUAGAAACUUUAGAUUUCUUUAUUAAGCAAACAACGGUCACAAGAUUAUUUUUAUAAUCUCAAUGGAAAUACUACGGUGUGUUUAUCUUAUAGGACUAUACUAGUUGCCACCACAUGAUCUAACAAUCUGUAUGAAUAAAAAUUGACAGUCAUGUAACCUUCACGUUGUUUUUAGAAUUUUGAUGAGGUCAAUCGACGGUUAAGAUAAAGUCAAUCAAAUGUAAUUACGGGCCAUAUCGAGCUUUGUGCCUGUGCACGACCAGACGAUAACGUUCCCAUUUGGCGUCAGGAAAGUUUAUAAUUAGAUGUUCUUCGUGAUUCCGUAAAUUAUAUAAUUUAUUAAAGUUUCGAGAUGCCAAGUUCGGCCGUUAUUAAUUAAAUAACUAAACGUGCAUAAUUAAUUAAAAUUCAAGGAACAGGGACUCACAGUGGUCAACGUUUUUUUUUUUGAAACUGAUUAAUCAUCAGAUUACUGCAUUACACAGAUAUUUACAAUAACUGUUUAUUGUAGCAGAGAUAUUACACUGAUAUUUACAAUCAGAUAUACAUGAUUGAGACUUACAUUAUUACAAUGAAUUCUAUGAAGUACAUGCCCAAUACAAAUAACCCCUCACAGGAGAUGAUGUCCAUACUCCACUUGCAUUUCGCAAGGGAGAAUGAUUUUUUAAAUAUAAAGAACAUUUAGCCCCCACAAUGCUUUUGUGGGGGCUAGAACCGCUGCCCUCACAAAGCUUGUGAGGGCAGCAGCCCACCACUUCGGCCUUGGCCGAAGUGGCCACAGUGGUCAACGUUAGUGGUGCAGAGAAGAGCAUCAAGUCAAAUGUGGUUAGUGGAGCAAUUAUCAGCAACUUAUAUAUAUUGUUAAUGUUACUAGAGAUAAUAAAUAAAUAAUCACUAGAAAUAAAAUACUAUUAAGUGUGAAUUUCAACACAAUAUUUUUUUGGUAAAGUUAAAAAAAAUUAAAAUAAUAAAUAAUGGAACGAUAUAUACAAGUGAUUUUGUGAAUGCUAUAUUACAAGUGAUUAUAAAAAAUUAAAAUCAAUUAGAUCAAAACUGUUUUUGGUUAUUUAAAUUGUCUUACUGCUUGACUCAAAAUAGACAAAAUAUUUUUCAAUUACAAAAAACAGGCUUCGAAAGUUUGCUAGACAUUUUAAUAGAUCUAACCUGACUUCCACGUGGCUAGAGCCCCUCCCUCACAAAUGUGAGGGAAGGGGUUCGAGCCUCUGCAAUUGCAUUGUAGGGGUUUAAUUUAAAUAUUCUUCCUUGGAGCCCUUGAGCUCGAGUGAAGACAGUCUUUCUCCUAUGAUGGGAGUUUGACAUCCCUCGAAUAUUUGAGAGGGUUAAAAAUCUGAGCAGUGUCAUAUCAGCAUUCAUAUCAAUAGGGCUCAGUAUAAAUAUAUGAUUGUACAUAUCAAUUAUACUCUCAUGUAAUAUGAGUUGUAAUUUGAACUGUAAUUUGAACAAUAGUCUCAUGUAAUCAAAAAAAAAAAAAAAAGAACCUGACUUCCACGUGUACUUUGUUAGGUGAUUUUACCAAAGAUUUUGCUAGAAUUUCUUUUAAUGGGAGUUUGCUAUAAUACCUAACCCUUCAUAUACUAAUAUAUUGUUAUAUCACACUUUUUUUUUUUUUUUAUAAUUUGGGCACAUCAAUGGAGCUUAAAUCGAGGAACCGAGUCCUAACAAGAUUGUUCCUUACUAUUGGAAAUAGAAUUUAGUUUGAUAUCUAAUAAUAGAUUGAGGAGGUUCAAAGUUUUUCACAUACCAUUAAAAAAAAAAAAACUCAUUUUUUUAAAAUUUCCUUAAGUCUGUAGGUAUCAAAUCAAAUCAAAUAAGCACAUUUUGCUACUUUAACAGUCAAGUCACCCGAGCACUUCUCUUUAAAAAAAAAAAAUCUAAAUAAAAUAAAAAAAAUAAAAAAGCACGCUAAAGAAAAGCUAUCAUUAUAUAUAUAUAUUUUUUAAAAUUUUUUAUUUAGAAAUAUAGGAGAUUUGUAAUGCCUUCACAAACCACAACCGCAGCAGCACAUCUGGCAGCAGGCAGCAGUCGCUCACACGAGGGGUUGUUUCUACUGCCCAUUUGUACGUGUUAUUCACACGUGGCAACCUGACCAUCUACCCCCAUCCCUUAACCCUAUAUAGUAAAAUCUAAGCUAAAAUCACGUGCCUCCCUGUAUUUUAUUACCAACUACGCCACCCAAUCAUUUACCAUCCACUUCACUUCACUUGAUAUUUUAAUAAUCAAAACACCCUAUUAUUUUUGCAAAAAUAUCAUUCCAGCCACGUGGCAUACUCCCAUUGCUUGACUGUGGCUUGAUGUGAUUGUACCGGAUUUCCUCCUCAACGAGACCUACCUUAGCCAAACAAGAAGCGCACGAAUAAGAUGACGCCACAUGGUAUUCGAGUUCGCGUCGCUACCGCCAGAUCAAACACCGACUACGUUUUAAUUCAUUUUUCGAGCCACGUGUCCUUUGAUAACCUGCUAUAGCCCGUGGCUUACCGGUGCAGCCGGUUACUCCCUCUCUGCAAUUCCCGCUAGGUAUAUAAACAGCCUCCUCGAAGUUCUUCUCUCUCUCUCUCUCUCUCUCUACAAUUCUUCAGUUCCAAAUUAAGCGAGCAAAAAGUAACGUUUUCGCGUUUUCCAGCUUGCAAUUUUAAGGUUAGUUUUUCUUUUUCCUCUUUUUCCUCUUUUUUUUUUUAAAUUUUAUUUUUGUUUAGUUUUAUUCAAUUUAGUUCCUGCUUUAGUUUUGAGCUUCUUCUUUUUUUCUUGAUCGAUCUUUAGAACUGCUCAAAACUCACCGUUUUGCCUUUAAAGAUUUUAGUCUUUGUAACUUUUACCGUUCGCUCAGUUCUGAUCUCCUUGUAUUAGAGUUUAAUUUAGGUUAAUCUGUGGAUUUUAUCAGGGCUUAACAAUUUGGGACCUUUUUGUGUGUCGUAAUCGAUUUGAGCUUGAUCACAGUUUGUGGUUCUUGAUGUGCGUGAUUGAUGUGAGGUUAAAAUUGAUAAGGAGUUUAAUUCUAUUAGUUGCAUGGUUUAAUUGUUAAUAUGUGUUUUAAGUGUUCACUAAUUUGGAGUCUUAGCUCUGUAUUAGUGGUUCUUUUGGCUAGCUGAUUAAAAUUUAGGGUUUUUCUAGCUAUGGUUAAGAAAUUGGGAAUUUCCUCAUUAAAGGAGUUCAAUGGGAAUAAUUUGGUCUUGUUGCUGGUUUUCAAGUCUUGAUUUACUUAGUUAGGUGAGAAGUUGUAACAGUUAUUUUUGCUUUUUAAAUUUUGUCUCGUUCGGGCUUGUUCCAUUUCUAAUAUUUGUUGUUUGCUUUGUCUAUUUGGACAUUGUUUAGAUCCCUACAACAAUUUGUCGAAAGCUCAAACAGAACAUAAACAUUGCACUCUAUUUGGUCAAAGCAAGAGCUUGUAGAUUUGUAAUAAUCUUGAGUUAGUCGAUGACAGUAGUGAUUCAGGAGAUCAGAUUUGAGUUUCUGUUUGGUUGGUGAAGUGGAAAUACUUAGAUUUUCUAUCGUGAUUUCUUAUUUUAUUUCAUUUUAUUUGCAUUGUCUCUGUAUUUUAUGAUAUUGAGGGGGUUGAGGUACGUAUUUAUUAUUGAAAGCAUUAGUCAGGGCUGGCUCUGGAGAGCUAUUUAGACUCUAGCCAUCAGGAGGCGGUGCCACCCAUGGCACCAUCUCGGGUGGCUAGGGGGUUAACCCAGUCUUCCUCAAGUUCCGGAAUUUUCUUCCAAGGAGAUGGGCAGUCCCAGGCUGUCGUUAACUCUCACUUGAGCUCAUCAUAUGGAAACUCAUCAAAUUCAAUUCCUGGAACUGGACGUCACAAUCUGGGUCCGGUUUCUGGGGAUAUGAAUAAUGCGAUGUUGAACAGUGUGGCAAACUCAGGACCAAGCGUGGGGGCAAGUUCUUUGGUCACAGAUGCGAAUUCAGCUUUUUCUGGAGGUCCCCAUUUGCAGAGAAGUGCGAGCAUCAAUACUGACUCAUAUAUGCGUUUGCCUGCGUCGCCCAUGUCCUUUUCAUCUAAUAACAUUAGUAUUUCUGGCUCAUCAGUGGUAGAUGGGUCCUCUGUAGUGCAGCAGGGCACUCAUCCGGACCUGAGUGCCCAGCAAGUGCAGCAAAGCCAGCAGCCGCAAGGUGCGUCAAGUGCUACAUCCCUGCCCACAUCUCAAACUGGCCAAGUUUCACUUCCCAUGGGCUCUCGAGUUCCUGGAUCCUUUAUGCAGGACCCUAAUAAUCUGUCCCAGGUGCAGAAGAAACCACGACUGGAUAUCAAACAGGAGGAUAUUUUUCAGCAGCAGGUUUUACAGCAAUUACUGCAGAGACAGGACCCCGUGCAGUUACAAGGCCGCAACCCUCAGUUACAAGCUUUGCUGCAGCAGCAGCAGAGACUGAGGCAGCAGCAGAUUCUGCAGUCCAUGCCACCAUUACAACGAGCCCAGUUACAGCAGCAGCAGCAGCAGAUGCAGAUGAGGCAGCAAAUGCAGCAGCAGCAGCAGGGAAUGCAAUCUGCAAAUGCUACGAAACGACCUUAUGAUAGUGGGGUCUGUGCUCGUCGGUUGAUGCAAUACUUAUAUCAUCAGAGACAACGGCCGCCGGUAAUUUCAUAAAUUUGUAUAUUGCACAUUGUAAAACAUUCUUUUCCAUCUUUUCCUUCAUCUACCCCUUGUGAAUUAUAGUCAUAUCACAAUCAUUAGCCUAAUGCAACUUUUUUUUUUAAAAAGAAAAUUUGUAUAACUUUAUAAAUCUUGCUAAAGUAUGCUCAAUUUAGUAAUUGGUGAAGCUUAUAGAUUUUUCCAUUAUUCUGUUAUGUCUUGAAAGGAUAAUACUAUUGCCUACUGGAGGAAGUUUGUGGCAGAGUACUAUUCUCCUCGUGCAAAGAAAAGGUGGUGCCUGUCCUUAUACGAUAAUGUUGGACAUCAUGCACUAGGUGUUUUCCCCCAAGCAGCUAUGGUCAGUUCUUGAGAACUAUUUACUUAUUCUAAACAAUGAGACAAUGAUUAUGUUUUAUAAAGUUUUAUAUUAAAUUUCUAGCUUUAUGAUUCGGGUACGUAUGUUAAGUCUUACGAUCGACUAAAAUUGAUUUUUCUACUACACCUAUGAUCUCCGCUUAUUCCAGUUUCUAUUAGGAAUGACCCGUUGUAUUGAAAGUCUAAUUCCUUUGGUUUUUGUCGAUUUGUUUAGUUUUUAAAUUCAACUAUCUUUUUGUUAUACCUAAUGUGAGUGUUUUUUAUGUAAUUUGUAGGAUGCGUGGCAGUGUGACAUAUGUGGCUCAAAAUCUGGAAGGGGAUUUGGUAAGGAAUCUGGAUGUUUAUACUCUCCAGUUUGAGUAUUAGUGUGUUAGGUGCCAUUUGUUUGGUUUGAUACUUAUCAUUUUGUCAUCUGUUGAUUUGAACAAGGUUUGACUAUCAUUUUUGUUGGGCUUGUAUGCAGAGGCAACUUUUGAAGUGCUCCCGAGGCUCAAUGAAAUCAAAUUUGGAAGUGGCGUCAUUGAUGAGCUUAUGUUUUUGGACUUGCCCCGUGAAUGUAGGUUUCCUUCUGGAAUAAUGAUGUUGGAGUAUGGAAAAGCAGUUCAAGAGAGUGUGUAUGAGCAGCUUCGCAUUGUUCGUGAGGGCCAGCUACGUAUCAUAUUCACCAAUGACUUGAAGGUUAGUAAAAGAAUGUUUCAUCAUGUGUUAUAAUUAUCAACCAAUCCUGAUGACUUACUUGAAGACAGUUCAUGCUUUUCUAGAUAUUGUCUUGGGAAUUUUGUGCCCGACGUCAUGAAGAACUUCUUCCUCGUAGGCUGGUUGCACCACAGGUAUGCAUUUAUCUGUUUCAAAUUGAAAAUGUUAAUGCUUUCAGUUGAGUGAAGUUAUUUGGUGUGAUUCAUAUUCCUUUGCCUGGUUCUAAUCUAAUUUACUUUCUUGUAAGUUAGAACCAUACGGGUUUGAAUUUAAAGUUGCUUGUUCCAAUGUGCUGCAGGUUAACCAGUUGCUUCAAGUAGCACAGAAAUGCCAAAGCACAAUUUCUGAAAGUGGAUCCGAAGGGAUAUCUCAGCAGGAUUUGCAAACAAACAGCAAUAUGUGAGUUAGUUUAGCAAUAAUCUCAUCAUAUCCUGGAUUAGAUGUUUUUGACUUCUUUUUUUGGGUUAAGAGUGUCUUUGUGUAACCUCUUUUGAGGAUUUAGUAAGUCACCUGAAGCAAUGAAUUAAAUAAACCUGUCUCAUAUCCAUUAUUCUAGAUUGGUGGUACCAAAAAUAUAAGUAAAAGAACAAUAAUCCAGUUUAGGUGACAGAAUAAAAAGCUUCAUCCUCCCAGUGGCCAGUCUGGAGAUCUCUGCCCUUUUCUCUUUUCCUGCUAUGCAAUGAUUCUAGCCUGACAGAAUUUGAUUCAUUUCUGCCUUAUUAUAACUUGGUGACUAGCAUGAUCUCGUCAGCUGUAUUUGGCUUUGCUUUUGUCUGGCAAAAGAGUGAUCUCUUGUCAGCUGUACUUGGCUUUGCUUUUAUCUGGGAAAAGUAAGGGGUAUUAUGUCGUACAGUGGCCUAUAAGGGUCUUUGGAUUUUUCUUGAACAUUUUGAGUAGCUUUUGCUUGCUGCUUAAUCCUCCCUUUUAUUGCUUUUGAUUCAAGUCCGGACUUAAUUGCACAAUACAUAAAAGGAAGGAUAUGCUACAUAGUGGAUUGCUCAGGACUAACUAGGUUCAAACAGUUGAUGAAUGACGAUGUAGAAUUGUUCUUGACAUGGGUUGUUUUGAUUUAGGGUUCUGACUGCUGGGCGUCAGCUUGCAAAGAGCUUAGAACUACAGUCACUGAAUGACUUGGGUUUUUCCAAAAGAUAUGUGAGGUGCUUGCAGGUAUAGUUUUAGUUGUUUCUGGCUUUGAGUUGCAAUUUGAUUUUAUUUUUAUUUGUGUGUGUGUGUGUGUCUAAUUUCUAAGUUUUCUUGUCAAUUGUCACAGAUCUCGGAGGUUGUCAGCAGCAUGAAAGAUCUGAUAAAUUUUUGUUGGGAGCAGAAAGUUGGGCCAAUAGGUAUCUUUUGGAAAAUUGCCGUACAUAUUAUUAUUUUAAGAAUUACCAUACUUAUUAUUGCACACCUUCAUGCUGGCCUUUGUGUAUUGUACUGUCUUUUGUGUUGAGUCUUAACAUAUUUAUCAGUUUCCCAGACAAUGCCCUGAACUGGGUGUAUGAUAUGUAUUUUUUAAAAAGAAGAAACAAAAAGAAAAAAUGAAAAGAGAAACUGCAUCUGGUCAUCUUUUAUUUAUUCUUAUGUGUUUUCCUUUGUUUUUCUCUUAGUUGCUAACAAUAAGUGGAGCAACAUCCCGCACUUUUUGUAUUCUGUUCCCCUCCUUAGCUUGUUCCACCCAGUUGAAAAGUUUACUCUUGAGGUGUCUGCAAAUUAUGUUUAAUAGUUCAGUUGUUAGUUGCUAUGUUCUCUGACCAGAGAACAUGGUUAUGUGUUUUCUUGGAUCUAAUAUCAACCAUCAAAUUGCAGAGGGCUUGAAAAGUUUCCCUCGGCAUGCAACGGCAGCCAAGCUCCAGAUGCAAAAGAUGCAGGAAGCGGAGCAGCUAGCAAGUGUUCAGGGUCUGCCAACUGAUAGAAACACCCUUAAUAAGCUGAUCGCCCUGCAUCCUGGUGGAAUGAACAACAACAUGAGCAAUAACUAUCACAUGGUGGGUCGAGGAGCUUUAAGUGGUUCGGCACAGGCUGCUCUGGCUCUAACUAACUACCAGAAUCUGCUUAUGAGGCAGAACUCAAUAAAUUCAAACCCUAACUCGCUUCAACAGGAGGCGUCACCUUCAUUUAGUAAUUCUAACCAGAGUCCAUCUUCAAGCUUCCAAGGGCCUGCAUCUUUCAUACCAGGUUCCAUGCAGAACUUGCCUGUUAGUGGCUUCUCUAGUCCCCAUUUACCUCCGCAACAACCACAGCAACUGCAACAGCGCUCACUGAGUGGAAAUAACCUGCUCCAACAGAGCCAUCCACAAUCUUCUCAAGGUAAUCAGGCAAUGCAGCAGCAGAUGAUCCAGCAACUGCUGCAGGAAAUGUCUAAUAACAAUGGAGGAGUGCAACAGCAGUCCCUUUCUGGACAGGCAAAUGGAAUGAUGGUAAGGAAUGGGUUAGGUUUCGGAGGCAACUCUCCGGCAGCAGGUGCACCUCCAGCUUCAGCUCCGUCCACCUCCAAUGUAUCAGGAGGCGGGGUGGCAGGCCCUACAACAAGCCGGAGCAACAGUUUCAAAGCUGCUACUAACAGUGAGGCGUCUGCUCCAGCUGGCAAUAAUGGAUUUAAUCAGAGAGCACAAGAUUUGCAGCAGAAUCUCCAUUUGCAGGAUGAUAUAGAUCAGGAUAUAGCCAAUGAGUUCACAGAAAAUGGGUUUUUUAACAAUGACCUUGACGAUACAAUGGGAUGGGGUAUGGCUGCAACUGGAAGGCACGACUAACAUUAUUUGGCUUCGGCACAGCACAGUGCUGGGGCUUUAUGUCUCCGUAGUUUGUACAGAAUAUUUGGAAAUAGCUGCUUUUUUGGCUUUCUCUGAUUGUCGAAUUUGUUGAGAGACGUCGUGAACUUCUUGUACUUCUUUCAUUAGGCAUUUAGUGAUUUUCUUUUUUUAAUUUUUUUUCCGUCUCGUUUUCCUGUCUCCAUAUCUUGGCAAGUGUAAUCUAUUUGGACGAAAAGGUAAGAACAGUUUCAUAUUAAUAUGAUGCCGACUCCAGUAGCAUCUGCCCAUUGUCCUUGAAUGCUAGUCUGUCAUAAUGUGCUCUUCUUAAUAAUGUCUCGAGUGUUUUCAAGUUUUGUGAGUGGUUACUGUAUAAAUAUAACUGAGAUGCACGUCUGUUUUAUGCUAUAGGAGGUUUCUAAAAACUAUCGCUAUUUUGUUGGAUUUGGGACGUGAAUAUAUGUGGAAGUACCAAGUAUCGGUGCCCUUGCUGUCAUCUGUGAUGUCGGGAGCUGGAGUUGAAUUUUUUGAUACAUGUCAUUUUUUACAGCACUCAUCCCAUUUCAAACGGAGUGAGAGUCGUCAGCAAAGCGGCUGUAUUUGUCUAAAACGAAGGCUAAUCAUUGAGUUGUAGGGUUAAGAGGCCGACCCUUCUCAAAUCCUCAUCCUUCGCAAUUGAUAAGAAUGCUAGGGUGGCAACCGGCAGGUGGGAUUUUUCUUUCAUUCUUGUCCUUUUAUGUAUAUAACAAAAACCUCAUUUGACAAACCAACAGCGACGGUCUAUCAGAUCCUCAUCGUGGAUCAUUCCAACUGUGACAACUGACCAAUUAAAGCGGCAGCGGUCCAUGAUAGCAGACACAAUCUGACCCACCAGGCUCCAUUAUUGAUCUUUCUCUACCAGUCUCUCUUUCGCCAACAAUAAAUUUUUAGUCUACACUGCUCCACCUGCUUCAUGUGGUUAUUUUUUUAUUUCACUUUCUAAAAAAAUAAUAUGUCACACCGCACCCAAACAACUCUAUUUCCCUACUAGCAUAUGAAACUGAACACAAAAGCUAUUAAUAAACAGGUAUCUAACUAACAAAACUCAAACAAAAUCAUUAAAGCAUAACCGGGAGCCAAACGUGCAUUAUUUUGCUCCAAAUGCAGAUCUUUGUGGACCACUGAAAAAAAACCCAACCCACAUAUUCUACAUGCAUAUAUUAUGUACAACAUUGGUCAUUCUUCGUGGAGACUCUCACGCUUUAAAAAUAUGCGAAUGCCAAAACCAGAGGAGGACUGUCUACGAGAUUGUAUGAACUCGCUUCUUCAGUCUCUCCUUAAACUCACUUGGAUAUAUCAACACAGAAUCUAUGCAAAGACCCCCUUUUGUAUGUGUACAAUCGAUCUGCAUCAUUGAGAACUUGAUCUUGGUGGAGGUCUGAUCAUUCUCGACAGCGAAAUCGCCCACAUGAUAAAGAACCCAGUUUCCAGGGUCAUACAAACAGCAUUCGGACACUGCUUUCUGGCCGUUUGAUGUUGAAAGCUGAAACCUGACUGGCUUAACGUCCCACCCAUGAACCUGUUCCAGGUUGCAAAUUCUUCUACCGAAUCUUUUUGAAGCUUUGCCUAGCUGUAGCCUGAAGAACAAGCUGUAGGUCCCUUGUGGAAACUCAAAUUCUAAUUCUCCUAUUGCUUCGCACCACCAUGUUUGUUGAAGAUAUGCCACUGAAUGGAAUCUACAAAAUCAGAAUAUCGAUGCUCAACGAAAAGCAUUUCAGGGCUGCUUUAAUUAUAAUAUUUUCGUAAGCAAAUUGUUUAGAUAUAUGAUAUGAACUCAGACUUUUUUCAGACCUAGUAAAAUUCAGACCUUCAGAUUCAGUUAAAAGGAAUUAAGCACCACCUAGAUUUGAUCCUGGAGAUAAUAUUCUUGUAGAAAAAGAUAAACUAUGUAUGGUGGCAAGGAAUUUUUGCACAUUGGCAUUAGGAAUUUUCCAUGAUAGAAUAAUUGAAUAUGUGAUUGAAAAAAAAAUUAUUCUAAUUCACUAAUUGUAGAUGAUCGUGAUAUUUAGCAGAACUACAAGGCAUCGACCAAGAAUAUUGGUUUAAAAAUUGAAUGCUUUAUGGAGAAGGCAAGUAAUCAAAUAAAUUAAAGGAUUAAAACAUUUUAAGCAUAUAUUAUCUCCUAAGCGAUCUAAUUCUUGACUUGUUCUUUCUUCAUUUUUAUACCUAGCUAGUGGCAGGAAUUUGGCACUUCAUGGAUCCUUUUCAAAAGAGCUUCCUUGCUGAACAUAUAUAUCAUAUAUUAUUCAAAACAAAAGAAAAUAACUGUUUGAUGAGAGAAUUUUGAAAAAAAAAAUGAUAGUAAAUUAGUAAUAAAACCUCAAUCUUGCGGCAACUAUUGCCUUAAGCUAGAAAAGUUGACAAUCAUCUGAACCAUUACAAGAUUCCGUGUUCGUUAUUAGACAUGCCACCCAAUUCAGUAAAAGCUUGUUAAAAAGGAAAUCAAUGUGCCUCGCCUUUCGGUUGCUUUAGCAAAAAGAAUUUUCUGGUCUGGAAAAUUAUUCAAUCAAUUUUUUUUUUCAAAGUACGUCCGACUCAACAUACUAAAUUCAUGGUUUUUUUUGGUAUCUAUAUAUACCUCCUUUAAUUUAUUUAUAUUUUGAGCCACCUCCUUUAAUUGAUCAGUUAAGUAACGUUUGGUGUAUCUUCAUUAGAUUUUCAUCUAUAUGGACAUGAAUAAACCAUGAUCAUUACGAUAAAUUUAUAAAAAAUUCAUCAUAAAUUAGUUCUAUAAAUUGUAAAUAAUUAGAAUGGGAGAAUAUUGAUGGAUCAAUAAUAAUAAUAAUAAUAAUAAAUUAUACCCAUAUGCUUUUCCAAACACAUAUAUUCAUAAGGAAACAUUGGUGAUUGUAAAUUAAAGAGGCCAAAAUUCAAUGGUUGCCCCAGAAUUAAUUGUGUGGAAGAUAUCAAAAGACCAUAAUUCCAAUAUAAAUAUCUCUUCCUAGAUUUUUUAAUUCUUCCUUCAAUAAUUUUCAACCAAAAAAAAAAAGAAAAAAAAAUAUAUUCCUCCAAUAAAUAAAAUGGCCCCUUUCUUCAUUUGGCAACCAUUAAUAAUAAAGGCUAUCCAAUUGCGAAAAUAAAAUUCUCUUACCUAGAUUCCUCAGUUGCAAUUUGAUUCCAAUAUCUCCGAUCAUCAAUCCCUGUUAUUUUCAUUGACUUAGCCGAAAUGGACAUACAAACUUUACCACUUCUCUUGUCCAACCAAAUCUCCUGGAUUAAAAAAUAGAACGCAUACAUAUUAUUGAUCGACGAUUCAAUUUGCUCGAUCGCUACUCUAAUGAUCUUCUAGGGAAGAAAAAGAUAAAAAUACCUUGGUGGCGUUGUCGAAGCGAUUAGGUUGAGACAAUCUUGCAUAAAUCUCUUUCUUGGUGAGCUUCUGAGGACUCUCAUUAAGAACUUUCUUGACAAGGUACUUAUAGUUUGAUGGCAACUUUGUUUCCCACAAAAAAUCAGCCGAAGAUGCGCCGCGAAAAGUCUUGUUCAAUAGAGCCAGUUUGCAAAUCUCCGGCGGAUCAAGGUGCAUAAAAAUGGAUGACACACAACUUUCAGGCACAUCAUUUAAGCUUGAUGAUGAAGAUGAUAAUAGAGUUUCUGUAGCAAAACCAGCUGAGAUACCAGCCCCCAUAAACAAGUAAACGAUGUUAAAAAAAAAAAAAAAAACAACAACAACAAGAAGCUUGUUAUAAAACCCUAACCAAAUGAAGAAACAAUAGUAGUAGGAUUUAUAAGUAGAGGAGGAGGAGAGAAUUGAGAUUGGAAAUGGGAGGAGAGAAUGUUGAAGGAGGAAUCAGCAUUCUCUUCAUGUGUAAGGUAAGGAGAGCUAAUGGGUAUUGGGUAAUGGACUUUUGGAAUUUAAAUAAAGUGUGUAUUAAUUAUAAUACUGUUGAGAGAGAGAGAGAGAGAGAGAGCCAACUAGGGAAAUAAAAAUAAAUAAAGAAGUUUGUAAAGGGACGUGUGUAUGAGCGUGCAUGGAUUUUGGAAUAUAUAUUGUGUGGGUGUUAUGUUUUCCACACCCACAGUUUGCUGGAUAUAACACAGAAUACAAACACAUUAUUACAGGCUAAUACAAAAUGAGUAGCUUCUACAAGAGUAAGUUAAUAUUUUGAAGUUAUUGUCCGUUUACUCCCUAUAUUUUUUAAAAUAAAUCAAAUCAUUCAUAUCAUUAAAUUAUUGACACUCUUGCCAUUAUCUUUUGUUCCUUUUAACUUAUUUUUACAAUAUUAUCCUAUUAUAAUUAUUUUUUAGACAUUAUUAAAAAGAAAAAAAUAAAUUACCAGUUUAACACCAAAAAAUAAAAUAAAAUAAAAAAUAUAUUAAUUUUUGUGGAACACUCUCUUGAGUUAAAAUAUUAAUUUUUCUAAAAAAAAUUGAUAAUGUAAUUUUUUAUAAUAUUAAUUUUUUAAACAUACGUGAGCUUCCACAAAAAUUAAUAUAUAUAUCUUUUUUUUUUAGGAUAAUUUGAUAAUCUAUUUUUUUAUUAAUAUCUAAAAAAGAAACAUUAUUGUAAGAGUGUAAUAUUGUAAAAGUAAGUUAAAAAAAAUAAAAAAUAAUGGCAUGAGUGUCAAUAUUUAGCAACAGGCAUGUCUUACCAAUGAGCCUUUGGUCCAGUGGGAGAGCCCUUGCACUUAGAAUAAUGAGUGCAAGGGUUCGAGCCUCCAUAAAAGCAUUUAUGGGGCUUAUUUACAAUCCUUCCUCAAUUAUCACAUAAUUGAGUGGAGCCAGUUUAUUCCUCACGAAAUGUGAGUAGAGUGGACAGCCCUCGAAUAUUUGAGAGGGUUUGAAGAAUUUGGGCAGCGCUUCAGAGGAGUACAUGCCACGAUGAAGGUCCCAAUUGUAGAAUCUGUGUGUAUAUAUUAAUUGUAAUACCUACAGUCCUGUAUAAACAGUAUUAAAAAAAAAAAGCAACAAGCAUGUCUUGAGGUGUUUUUAAAAAUAUAGAGACUAAAUAGACAUUAACCUCAUAAUAUAUGGAAUAAACAAGCUUUUAUCAUUUUUUUCAAGAGAGCAAUAAUAGAGUCAAUUAUUUUUAUCCAAAUAAGCGUGUACAAAUUAAUUGAUGUGGUAUGAGGAGAUUAAUUGCAUAAAAAUCAUGAUAAGUUCACAUAAUUAAAAAAAUAAUAAUAACCAGAGGUCCAAGUCACAUGUGUACUACUAACUUAUUAGAGAUUAAUUUUUUUAAAUAUAAAUAUUUUGACGUUGAUCCGGCAUUCAUUGAGCGCAGAUAUUUAAUAUUUCGACAAUUUUGACCAAUAUACAGAUUGACGACCCCGAUGCUACCUAAUGAGGUUUGAUUUUCACCACAAAAAAUCAAAAGCAACCUUUCUUUUUCCAAAAUUUAAAAUCACUUUGCACGUUGUUGACAUGUACACUUUUUUUAUUGUCUUGAUUUCGGCUUGCAUGAGUCUGUUCUCAGAUCGAUCAUGUGAUUAACGUGGGUUGGACGAUUUGGUUUCUUAUUUAUUUAUUUAUUUAACAACCAAUCAAUGUAUGUCUUUAUUCAAAAGAACAGUCUCGCCCAAUACUUAUCGUAAUAUAUGGGACACAUGGGUCCAAUUUUUUUAAGUGAUUUUGUUUGAAUCACUUAUCGUAUUACUUAUUUAGUGCAGGAUCCCAAUUAGAGUUAUUGGAUUAAUUUAAAUCUAAUGGCUCAUAAAAUCUAUAUGUAGUGGCCGGCCCCGCCAUGUGUUGAUUUUAAAAUAAAAAUAAAAAAUAAAAAGUGAGAUCCGGUGCUUUAGUUAAAAUGUGGGAUCCUGCAUUAGAUGUUCACUCCACCAAACAUACUGCUGACAGGUUUUGUUUCUAAGAUUUACGAAAGAAGCAACUCGCAAUUCGUUAAUUGCAGAGACCCGAAUGGGAAGGCAGUAUCGUAAUUUUCUGUUUUUGAAUUGUCAUUUUCCCAAUAUUAAAUUAAAUUUAUAUAUAUAUCAUUCAAUCGCACAAUCGAUUGAAUUUUGAUCAUCUUCUAUAAUUUCACUCACAGACAAAAUCACAACCAAAUCCAUCUUUUAUUACUUCAUGAAAUGCGUUAUAUGUAGAAUAUUAAUUUAAGUCAAAUAUUGGGAUUACAAAUCGACAAUAUUGAUGUUGAUUGAGUUCGAAUGAAAUUUACUAACUGAAUUAGUGGCAGCAGGCUAAGAACCUUAAUACACACGGGACAAAUUUUUUUUUUUUUUUUCAUUAUGAGAUGUAUUUUCUCAUUUUUCAAUUCAAUAAAUCAGGAAAAAGAUGAGCCGUCCAAACAUACGCCGAAUGGUUUAAUCAAAUCUUAUCAACAAUUUUUUUUUUCCCUCAAAUUAAAGAGAGGUAUUGGGAAGAUAAUGAAAACUAGGGAGUGAGCAGUUGGAUAGAGUUUGUAAAAAUCAAAUCCAACACGCUAUUAAAUGAGUUGAAUAAAAUCAAUAUAACCUAAUUAAAUAAACAUAUUUAAUACAAUUUAACUUAAUUCUUAAAUCAUUGGGUUGGGACGGGUAGAGUUGGAUUGAUCGAGUUGAAAGUUAAAUUAAAAUUAAAAAAUAUGAAACUAAUUAAAAUCAAACAUAAAUUUACUAUAACAUAAAAAUGCCAUUCGUUGUCUAGUGUUUGAUAAAGAAAGAUAAAAAACCAACUAUCUUAAAAUUAAGAAAAUCUCGUCAAUGAACUUCUAGACUUUAUUCUCAGCUUUCUGCUACUCUUUUUUGAAUUCCAAAUUCAGACCUUUUAAAUAAUUAGCUAACAUCAUAUCCAAUAAAAAAAUGAAAGUAAUAAAUAAUUAUGUACCGUUAAGUGUUUACUAAAAAAAAAGAGAGAAAUUGAGACCAAUUUACUUUCAAAUUAACUUUAUAAGACAAUAAAUUUACUUAUAUGAGAGAGUGAUUUUGGUCUUGAAAUUCUCUUCUAUAAAAAUAAAAAAUUAAAAAGAGUUAAAAAUUAAAUUAGCUAUUCAGAUCUUUAAAAUUUUACGAUAGAUGAUUAACAUUCUACUACUACUACUACUACUAUUAUUAUUAUUAUUUACGUGGGUUAGACGGAAUCAUUACAAUUAACUCAACUCAUUUAUUAAUUUGGUUUAAAAAAUUGACUCAAUUAAUCCACAAUGAUCUACUCAAUCCAUCAAAAUUAGAUUGGGUUGGAUUGGAUUUGUCCACCUCUAAAUUGAAAACAUUUUUCUUAGCAACUAUCUACUUAAUUAAUUAUUUAAGUUAAUAUUUAGUUUUUAGAACACACGAAAUUAAUAAUUUCGUUUUGGUACCUCCUCCUGCACUGCCAAACACAGUUUAUUGUAAUUACAUAUAUAUUAUUUCCUCAAACCCACCAACGGGGAUACACAAAUUAUAAAGAAACAAAAAAAAAAAAAAAACUGAUAUCAAUAAAUAAUUAAUUAGCAAGUUCGCUCAAUUGAAGCAAAUAAUUUUGCCAAGCAAUUCACACGAAUCAUGAUUAGCAAAAAUCUUCAGGCGUGGGGCUCAGUCACCACAAGUACGAACCACGCAUUGCCUGAAAUAAUGAGGUACUGCCAUCUACUGACACUUGUCAUCAAAUACAAUGUCCACGACGUGGGGCUGAGUCUUUUUAUUGGGAGCCUACCGGGUAGAAUUGUAUAUCUAUAUUCUGCCAAAAUAGAAACGCUAUUGAGUUUGUUUGAUUGAAGAAAUUAGUUUUUAAAUAAUAAUAAUAAUAAAAUUUAUUAAAAUUCUGAAUAAAUUAAAUUAGAAUUUUGAGACUUUUUUUUAUAACAAGUCUAGAUAUUGCGAAUUUAUCAAAAUAAACAAAUCAUAAAUAUAAUAUAAUAAUUAAAUUCUCCUAGUCAAAAUAAAAAAAGAAAAACAAACGGCACUCAAAUCUGAGUUAUAAAAAAAAAGAUAAAAAUCUUAGAAGAAUCAAGAAAAAUAGAAAAAAAAAACUUAAAACUAGAAAAUGUCCAGAAUUUCAGCUCAAUCAAGAGGGAGAACGGCUUAGACAGUUAUGAAUUUUGUUCGUCUUGUCAUAAACUUCAAAACUGUAUAUUAUACGUUGAAAAUAAACGCUUGUAUCUCAAGUUAUAACCUUUGUAAGGUACUCUACUCGCAACACACAACACUCUACAUCACAUUCAUUCAUAAAUAUUAGUAGAUUAAUAUAAUAUGCAUGUUUGUAAAUCACAAUAUAAUUAGAAUUUUUAAUUUCCCUAAAAUUGGGGUUUUGCAUUAUAGCAUUUUCUUAUUUAAUCACUCGAUUUUAACAUUUUUGCUAUUAGUAUUGGACUAUCUCAGAAGUCCCAAGUCUACUUUUAUCGAUGCUGGAUUUUACGAUUGGGCAUGGUCUUAGCUACCGUGAUUGUCUGGUAUCGGUAAAGGAUUUUCCACAACAUUUAUACAGUAAUCUUUGAGAGGAGGCUCUUUCCCAGACUAAUAAGAAGUUACCAUUCAACCCAAUCAAUCAAUGAACCUUUACUUGUAGGUUUAAUCUAUUAGACCAAACAAUUCAAACUAACAUGAUAUAUAUUGGAGCAAAAUUCUCAUACGUAAACUCUCACGUGUUCUGUUUAUCCUCAAUUAAUUUAUUUCAAUUUUCAAUCGAUCAAUUUCUUGAUCAUAUUACGAAAAUGAAACUUAGGGGUUUGUUUACUGUUUGGAUGUCGAUUGUUUUGAUCUAUUCUUCUUAUUAAAAAAUGUUAGUGCAUGGCCGAAGUCUAGAAUAUGAUUCCAUUCUUUCAUUUUCAAACUUCAAUCUGCACCAUCGUCGAUGGAUUCUCGAACACAAGAAUAAAUCUUUUGGAAAGAGUAAUAAUCACUCUCGAGUCGUUGUUUUGAGUUUGAAAAAAAUAAAACUUGUCAAUUGAAAAAACCAGCCAAUAAUAGUUUGGUAAAUCGUUAUCUAAUUCUAGAUCUUCCUAAAACAUGAAUCGCUCGGAAUUGAAUUAGCACGUGCUUUUUCAAACAAGACUAAUUAUGUUCAUUACGAAUGUUAUUUUAAAUCUUGUAACCGGCUCGAAGAGGAGACUAAUCAUUCAUCAUAUAUCCGAAUUGUACCUCCUUAAACCUCUUUCUACUUUUUUUGAUCUUGGAUAGGUGGGAUGUUUCCUUAUAAAAGGUACUUGAGCGCUCAAGUCGAUCAUUUGUUCAGUUCAUGAAAAAUAAGCUAUAGAAAAGAUUAAUCUAGUGUGUUUAAGUGGAUCACGUACGUGCCCUAUAAUCGAAAAACACGAUCUCUCUUUUCUAUCCUUAAUCCUUCUGCUAAUUACGUGAGUCUUUUGUUUUAUAAAAUAGUUUUUGUAGAGAUUAUUUCUUCAUUUGGGUAAUUUUCACUCCGAAUGGCCUCCCACAGAUGACGACGUAUGAUUAAACCACUACUUACGCAGCCAUAAUCCAAUUUAGUAGUUGAAAGAGUUGAGUAGGUUUAGAAAAACUGAUCACAUGAAGACAUGCAGAGAUGAUUCCAAGUCAAUGAGGAUAAUUAUUAGAAAGAGGAAUUUGCUCCCAUUUCGAUUCAUAAUUAAAGCCAGUUAAAUGCAUUUGGACUACACCCUUGGAAUUUUUUCUAAUACUAGUGAAAAGCGUGAAUCUGACCAUAAUUGCUUACUCUUAAUACUUUUAUGUUGCUUUGCACGAUAAUAUUUGUGGUUGGCUGUUACAUGAAUAAAUCCGUAAUUUGAGAUGCAUAUCUCAGCCAUCAAAAAAGAAACCAGAGAGGAUGCCUUCUGCUUUUUUAUUAAUUAUAAUAUUUUUUUCUCUCACGUUCAAGCUAAACAACCACCUCCUCUCUGCAUAUACAGCAAUUCUGAGAAGGAAAGGGGAAGGAAAAAAAAAAAAAAUUCAAAGUCAUAAUAUGCACAUUGAAGCUAGAAAACUAACAUUGGGCUAAUACUGUAACAGCAUGCUCUAAUACUGUCCACUUUACGCACACAGCCAAUCAUGUUUUAUUUUUAUAUUUGGCUAUAUUUAUUUAAUCACAAGAAGUUAAAAAUUAAUUAUAUAUAGUUGUGUGGUUUAAGUAAGUUAAAAAUUAACUCUCUUAAACUCCACCUUUAAAAAUUUAUCCGCAUUAAAAAAAAAAUUGAUGACGCCUGCACCAAAGAAAGAAUAUAUAUAACAUACCUUAUUAUCUCUUAGCCACGUUUUAAUGCAUUCAUCGUGAUAUUUGUGGCCACAGGGCAAAGUGAUCAACCUAUCGCCUCUUUCAUAUUCCAGUUUACAAAUCGCACACCUAAUUGUAGACAAGGAAACAAACAUUCAUCUUGCAGACAUUGUAAUCAAAAGUAUUUGAAGAUGAGUAAUGAUAUAGCCACAAACUCUUGUACAGACUUAUUUUGUACAAACUGAUGUGGCAUGAUAAGAUUGGUUGAAUGAAAAUAUAAAUUAAUAAAAACAACUCAUGUGGGACAAGUAAUAUUUAAUUCAACCAAUCUUAUCAUGCUACAUCAGUUUGUACAAAAUAAGUUUGUACAAGAGUUUGUGGCUGUAUCAUUACUCUUUGAAGAUACACAUUUUUAGCAAGUAUAUGUAAGGUGUGUGUGUGUGUGUGUGUGUUUAUUAUAUGAACAUUACUCGUUAUUUUCAUCUGCAGAGUAUAUGUAAUGUGUGUGUGUGUGUGUGUGUUUAUUAUAUGAACAUUACUCGUUAUUUUCAUCUGCAGAGCUGCCACAUCUUUUUGAUGAUGACUUAUUAAACUUGUGAGAUGGUAGCCUGGAGAUUUUCCUUUCUGAUAGUCCUCUGCUUACAUUGCCAAUGGUUUCUUCUAGACGAGUGAUUUCCUGACCCAAAAAAAAAAAAAAAAAGAGCAACUAAGUAUUCUCUAGAGCAGACAUUAGCACUUUAAUUUAAAAUUUUGAUGUGUUAAAUUCAAAUUUUAUAAUGUAUUGACUGAGAGGGAGUCUCCAUCAGAAAAUUACCUCAUAAUCCAUAUUAUCUGGAUAAAAUUCAUCUUGAUACAUAGGCUGUAUAGAUUGAAGGAUCGGAUUCUUGUUAAAUAAAUACCAUAAAAUAAAUAAUAUAAAAAACAAAAAUUAGAAUGUAAAUAAUCUUCCACCGCAACAGGAGUAACAAGUGCUACUCUGGGAGUACUGCUAGUUCCCACAGCAUCUGCAAAUCAACAUAAAGAUUGAUUCAAUAUACCAUCAUGAACAAAGAAGCAAUUUUUCUUCUUCCUUUUUUUUAUACUUAUUAUUCAUUUAUAGUCUUUAAACAGACAUGGAUAGGCUAAUAAAUUGAAGUCAAUAUUGUAUUAAAAUACUCUUAACUAAUGACAUUUUGGAAAAUUAAAUGAGAAAAUAUUCACAGCAAUAGCAAGCAAUCGGCCAAUCGCUGCCGCAAGUGAUACUAUUUGCAUGUAGGGUAUGAUGAAUAACGUUUACCAGUUGAAAUUCCAUUGGUUUCUUUAAUGAACAUAUUCUCAGUACCACCAUCCUCCAUCUCCUGCAGGGCUCUAGCUAUAGCUUCAUCAUUAUCGUCUGCCAUUGCAGAGAAAUGUAAGGGUCUCAACUCUCCAUUAUAUGAAAAUUUUCAAUGCAACCCCCUAUAAUUCAUUGCUCUUAUGUUACAGCCCUCCCUCACGUUUGUUGUUUCUAAGCAUAGCAAGAAAUUUUUGCCACCCCUAACCCUAUAAAUGACUUCUGUGCACAAAUUUUGCUCGAGUGGUUGUUGCAUCUUACAGGAGGGCUUACCAUUAAUAGAAAUAUCUCGGAAGCCGUCGUUCAUCUCUUGCGCCUGCAGCACUCUAGCAAUAGCUUCAUCGUCAUACCGACCAUAUUCUCCGAAUGAUCCUGAAUAUCGUCGCACAAUGUGAAUACGACCAAUUAGGCCUCAUUACCCUAUGCAAUGAAAUGGACAAAAUUCGAAAAAACAAUAGGAAAAUUAUAAGGAAAAAAAAAAAGAAACCACCGGUGCUUUCAAAAUUUGAGUAUAAGUAAGUGCAAAAAAAAUACUAUGAAGAGAAGCUUUAAGUACACGGUAAGUGCUUAAAACAAAAAAAAAAAAAAGAACACACUAUGAAGAGAAGCUUUAGGUACACGGUUGUUGUAGAAGCUCAGUGUUAUAUUAUCAGCAGCACCAAAUAAUCUUUCAUAAUACGUAUUUUGAAAAUCAUCAAAUCCAAAAGGUUUAGGAUUAUAAUUACUUCUCGCCAUGGCUGCUGGCCUCUGCAAAUAAAACCCAGAAACCCAAGUCUAUUUCAAGAAUCGGGCAAUGAUGAUUUCGAUUCCUUGUCUUGUCCUCACACUUAGCAGUAACGGGGGCACAAAUUUAUUAUCCCCGUGUGUAACAAUUUAUUAUGUUCGAGAACGACUGGGCAGAUUUAUAUUUUCAUUUAUAACAUAAUAUUCUCGAAGUUAUGGCUGAUUUCAGCAGAACAUUUUUUCCUACACAAAAUCAGACCUGAAGCUUUUCUUUAAAUUAUUUUGAAGAAAAUAAUCUCACUAUCAUGCGGAAGUAGUUAUUGCAGUGGUGAUCCAGGAGAAUCAAUUCUACCUGAUCAGAGUUGCGUCGGUGAACAAAAUUUGCAAAUUGGAACUGAAAGGGGAACAGGGAAUGACUAAAUUACACUUCUGAAUUCUGAAGGAAUUUAUUCAGUGACACAACUUUUAAAAUUUAGCCCCGCAUAUUGGCUGAUUGAAGAAAAUUUUCAUUGACUUAUUCUCGACGCAUUUCAUUGUUUCACUUGUUAAUUAUAAACAGAGUACAAGGGAAAAGAACAAACAAUAUCCCUGCUUAACCAUCCACGCACAUUCAUUUUGUUUACAAUCGAAGGCAUCCAAAAAUCAAGUACUAAUACAUAUCUAAGUUUCGACUGUUCAGCUCAUGGUGAUGGGUCAACAAAUGUCACAUUUGACCAUUAAUUACCAUAGACGCAUUCUUUAAAAAAAAGAUUUAUCCCAAGACCAUAACCGAUUAAUCACCACCCACUUGUCUCUUCCACGAAUCUUCAACAAUCAAUUCAUCGACUCCCCAAUCUUCAUAACUGGAAAAUCACACAACAUCCAGUAGAAAACAUGUUAUGUUGUAAAGAAUAAUUGAUAUAGAUCACUCAAAAUCAAACAGAGUGUCAGAGAGAGACACACACACACACAAACCCCUCCCCCCCCCCCCAACCAAAAAAAAAAAAAAAGUUCCUUUCAACUUAAGAAUCUCACCUUCCAUCAGGGAGGUAGCGACGGAUUGUGAAGGGAAUUUUCCGCUCGCGUAGCUCCUUCAUAGCAAUCUAGACAAUGGCAUAUGCAAUAUCAGAAAAAUAGUAUAGCAUGAAAGACAGAUUAUGAUAAUAGUAGAACAAUAAAUCAUGUGCUUAGCUCUUCAUGUAAUCGACUUGCAAACUAGCAUCAAUGACAUAGAAGACCAAAAUCAUGACAAUUUUACUGAAAGGUAUGCUUUUACAUCUAAAAUAUUGGUUAAAAAGCACAUAUAGCCUAAACAACAAAAAUGGCAGCCAGAAUAGCAAAGUUGCUCCUGUUUUGUCGUAGCUUCUCUCGGCCACAAUUUUCUUUUGUCUGAGCUAUGCUACAGGGAAACUAUUUUUAUUCCCAUGAUUACCAGUCUACUUUUGGUCUGAAUAUGCAAGAAACUCCAAAAGGCAUUCAUCAUGGCAAUAGAAAUAGACAGACCAAUUAGGAUUUGCAACAACAAGUAUUUAUGAAGAGGAAUCCAAAAUUUAUGAAAAAACCAAAAGGACCAAAAUACUGGCAGUCAAAGCUUUUUUCUGGUACAUAAAUAUCGUAUACAUUUGUCAGUCCAAUUUUAAUUUACACGUGUAUGAAAUGCACAUGGCCGCAACAAAAACAAGGUUGAUCAUUUGAUCCAUGUAUUGAGUGGGUAUGACUAGUAUCCUGACUAUAAAAACAAGGUCUGCAGACACACACAACCAGGAAGGGAAAAAGAUAUACCAUCCGACAAGGAAUGUGAAGAGUCAUACCUCAAGUGGGUCGGUCUCCCCCUCCAACUCAACCAUCACAGGAGCAUUCAUACUGAUCAGCCAAAAAAGAAAAUUUAUUAUCACAUAAUCCUAGCCCGAAAAAACCCAACACAGGACACACAGUUUUAUGAUAGAAGAAAAACCUGAUUUGCAGAGCUCGGGUACCCAAUAUUCUGGCACGCUCGUAUUUAGUCAUGUACUUGGAAGUUUUCCGAGCUGCUUCUUUCUGCUCCUGCUCCUCCUUUUCCUCGGUCUCAAUAGGCUCUCCAUUGAUGUCAUCAUUGUUGAUGUUUUCUGCAUCCUCCUCUGCACCUUCCUGUCCAGCCAUUCCAACCAAAUGAUAGUUAAAUUUGUAAAAACAAAGGAAAAAAGAGUUUCAUUACAUGUUUUCAGUACGCAGAAAAUCAAAGUGAGGAAAUCAUACUUCAAUUUCAGGCUCUGGCGGCUCAUCCUCGUAUCUGCAAAUUAUAAAAUAAUGCAAAUUACAUCAUUGACAAACACAAAAGCAUAAUCAUAUGAUUGCAACAUCGAAAUACCGUAUCCCUUAAAAGACUAUAAAUCAUAAAUUAUUCACAAAAGCAUGGCCUAGCGCUAUAAAACCCUAAUACCAAAUUGCAAACUUAAAAAUAAGUGUUAAUAGAAUAAAAAUAAAAAAUUUCUGUCCUGAAACGAAACCCAAAACUUCAAAUAUGUAAAAUUUCAGUUAUUUCGUUAGAUAACAGAUGAAAAAAGAAAAAUUGAAGAACUCGAAACCAUAAGUCGUGGGAGCCUAAGCAAACAAGAGAAAAAUAUAUAUAGAGAGAGAAAGAAAAAGAACAAGAGAAAGCUAACCCCAUGUCCAAAUCAUUGUAGUCUUCGUCGGCCAUUGUGGACUACUCGAGUUUCUUUGGUCGCCGGUCGAGUUUAUUAAAUAAGAAUUCAGGCGAUGUGCUUCUGCUACCCGGCUCCUAAACCCCAGCACGAAACCGUGAGGAGAAGAAUUUAUCGGGAGCCCUAGUGGGCUAGCCCUGAUCUUGGGCUUGUGGAUUGAAUAUGUCGGUUUUUAAUUUUUUCAUUUUUGAACCCUAGUUGCUAUUUAAACCUCGCAAAUAACCUCAGUACCCCUUUAAACCCGAUGAAUGACUUGAAUUAAACUGAGCUUAUUAGACAAACCAAAUUAAUUUGAUUGAUACAUGGACACAUGGACCUACCAAUUCGAGUAUUCGACAUAAAUCCAUAAGAUUUCACAUUUGAUAAACUUGCAACAAACUUAAAUACCAAGAUCACCCUUAAUUUUCAACAAACUUGCACAAUUGAUUUCAAUCUGGUGUUGCAUUUUUUUACAUUCUAAUAAUAUGUUAUGUGCUGGGAAAAUCAAUAUGUUAUGGCAAAGUCAAACUGGAAUUCUCUAUGUAUGCUUUGUUAUUGUCAAUCAAAUUUACACUAAUUAAAUUUUAUUUAAAAAGGAAAUUUUAGGACUUAAAAAAAAAAGAUAGGAGAGUAAAUUUGAUUGAAUUGUUUGUGCUUAUUCCCACUAAUUCUUCGAACAAAUAAGCACAAACAAUUCAAUUAAAGAAGCCCAAGCCAACUAAACUUGCCUUGUAACCAGUGGCAGUCGUGCAUAAAGACCAUAUCCACCCUCCCCAUUUUGUGAACUAAACUUCACGACUCUAUUAUUAGACUUGGAAUUGAGCCGUGUAAAGUUAUUGGGCUUUAAAUAGUGAGCUCCCUUAUAUAGUUAUAUUCAGGUGCCAACUCAUUGCCUCUGCCGGGUGGAUUAAGGGUGUGUUUGGGAGUAAAAUACUGUAACUUUUAAGUUACAGCUGCUGUGGAGUAAAAAUUACAAUUGUGGAGUAAAAAUUGGGAAAAAAAAUUAUUAAACUGACAAAACCCAACUACAAGUGUUAUCAAAUACUAUAGUAGCUAGAUUUUGACAGCCCAGCUAUCCCACUACACUCUCAAACAGGCUAUAAAGGUGGAGGCUGUGUUUGAUAUUGAUAUUUAGUACUUAUAUUUUAAAGUUGUAGCAUUAAAAAAAUUUAAUAAACACUUGUUAUUGUGUCUUAAAAAUUAUGUUGAAUUAAUCUCAUACUCGUUUGAUUAAAUUUUUUUAAUAAUUUUAUUAUUUUUAUUGAAAUUAUUAUUUAAAACUCAAAUUUCUCUUACACUAUCAACUUUUAAAGUUAGUAAGAGAUCUGCAUUUAGUUAAAGAUCCCCCUAUCUUACAUGUAUAUCUUUACCAGAAAGAAAUAGGAGUAGAAAUAUUUUUCUUUGUAUAAGGAAAUAUUUCCUUAUAUUACAUGUAAGAUAGGGAUUGCCUUUAGUUAAUUGAAUAAGCAUUGCGACAUACGAGUUAUGUUGCAUUUCACGAGGCAGAGUCAACGAAUUCAUGGGUGAUUCUGCUGGUUUUGCAUACUUGCAUAUUGUCGAUUAGAAAGCUAAUUGAAAUAAAUAAUAAUAAUGGAAAGUAAGUGGAUCAUUUGUUCAUUACAUCCACUACUCUAUUUUUUUUUAUUUUUUAAUUCCACUGAGAUCUAAAAAAAUUUUAAAAAUAAAAGUAAAAAAGUAGAUUACACAUAGCCCUAUCCGUAACAAGAACUUUACCCUAAAAUUUGGCCCUACAGGCAGAGAAAGUAAACAAUAUGCAACUUGGUCACAUGAUACUAGUAUAUCAAUGCCAUUAUGACAAAUUGGUCACAUUGAUAUUAGUAUAUAUACUUAACGGCAUUAUGACAGAAUAUAUAUUUUAAUAAUAGAGUCUGCACAAAUACCAAAAUUUAUUUGGGACUUGUGGUUGGGGGGGAGGGGGGAUGCAAAAUGUUCAGAAAUAAAAUAAAUAGUAGGUGAAAUCUGGUCAUGUUUAUGUAAAUUGAGUUAUUUAAUUUCAUUUAUUUAUUGAUAUUCUUUAACUUCAAAGUUCCUCAACAUAAAAACACCAUUGUUUAUGUUUAUGUCGAUCUGCGAACACCGUUGUCUAUAUUGUUACUAGGGUGGGGGGUUCUAUGUCAGGUCUGGAUGAGUGGAGAUAUGUUCCACCUCUCUAGUUAUUUAAUGUUUUGUCUAUUUAAAUGAAAUUCAUAUUUCCUUCAAAAAAAAAAAAAACUACCCCUUGUAAAAGCAAGCAACACUUUUUUCUAUAUAUUUUUCGGAAAUUUGAACAAUGGGGUGAUACCAAGACAAUAAAAGUAGAGUUACUGUAUAACAACAACAACAACAACAACAAUAAGGGUCCCUCUAUGAUGCCGUAAUUUUUUUUACGGUAUCAAUAGUGUAAGAAAUAUAGACCGUUAGAUCUAAUCAACGGUACAUAUUAUUUUUAUUAAUGAAAAUUUUUAAUUAUUUGAAAAUUGUGUUAACCGGUUAACAAACCUAUAAAAUAGGUAAUUUUAAAUUUAAAAUAAAAAAGAAAUGGAGAUACAGUAAAAUACAAUCUCUCUUUAUCUCUCACGUUCAUAUUUUUAUAAUUGGAUUCUUUAAGAUUAUCUUUGUCUCCUAAUGAUUAGAUGAAAGAGAUUCAAUAAAUUUCUCUUAAUAAAUAUUUCGGUAAGUUAUUCUUGAAUCCAUUUUAUAGUUUUAAUAGUAUUUUCAAAUUAGAAUUUGUUAAUCACGUAACAGCUCUAUUUUUAUUGUAUUACCAAUUUAUUGCCUUGAGUAUUUGCAGCCAUGGUUUAAGGUCUGUCCUACGCUGCUUACAAUCAUUCUAUAACGUGCCUUUACAGGCGGCUUAGAGGCUUGUGCGGCUCACAGAUUGCCAGCCAUAGAGAAAAAGUAAAAGGGGAGAGAACCAUGAGGCAAGGUGCAAUGGGAGUAAGAUACAGAAUCUUUAAUGUCAUGUGCUGUUUUCUUUCAUAUAUCUUUUGGUAAUGAAAAGUUAGUUGGUCGGCCAUGUUGCAAUUUUGCUUUAGUUUGGAUUUUUUCAAGUUUCAUGAUGUAUAGAUAAACUUAGAGUUCCAUAUUUAUGCCAGCUGCGAAUUCCUUUAAUCAUUUAACUUUCUAGCUUUUUUAAUUUAGGAAAGAGUUUACUAUUAGCUUAUUGUUAUAUAUAUAGUCUAUAUUUAGAUAUAUAAUGACACCUGCAUUUUUGGUGUUUUAUUGUCACCAAAGAGUGAUCAUAAUAACCUUGUUGUUAAUUGAUAUUAACUCUAAUCAUAAAUAGUAUAUUUGGUGGUAGAUUAUGUGAUUACGCUAUUAUAGUGCUAAAAAGCAUGCAGGAUUAAUUAAUUUGCAAGGCAACUAGGCAAGUAGAUAUGUAUUUGUUUGAUGAUAGAUUGAUUUUGACAAAUUCAUUUAUCUUAUUUAAAAGAUUUUCUUAUUCUUCUUAGUUGUUAGAAUAAUACUAGACAAGAAAUAACUGAGUAUGUUGAAAAUUCUCAAGAAAAUUAUCCAUUUGGAAGCAUAAAUAUAGGGCACAAAUAUGAAAUUAAUGAACUUAAUUCACUGAAGCAACCAACUUAAAAAACGCAUUAGUUCUUUGUUUCAGCCUCUUUUCCCUAGAAACACGACGGCCAGACAUUACAUGCUCAUAUUUCUUAUAUUUCUACAUGUUUUUUUUUAAUUUUUUUUUGUUUUGACAAAUUAUCGAACAAGUGUUUGAUUUUAAAGCAUUGGUCAUUACAUGGUUACAUAGCUGAAAUCUCCCCAUAAUCAUCUCUUUACUCAACAACAAAAUAAUCAUAACAGUUCUAAAUAUCAAAUUACAAAGAAUAUAUACAGUACUAACCUUGUUGAUCAAUAUUCAUCGCUUUAUUGUAAUGAUAGCUCUCAGAUUUACAUUGAACAUAAAUUUUUUGAAAACCGAAAAACUUGAUUGAUUGACAAAAAACUCUACUCAAAUUUAGUCAGAUUGAUUGACCAAAAAUUCAUAUGAUGAAGGAAUGUCAAACUCUGCUUCUUUUGAAUUUUGGUUGAUAACUGCAAAAACAAUAUUGAACAUUUUGUUAUUAGAAAAUUUGCAUGAUUAAACUGUACUAAUCUAAAAUAUAUAAUAUUGCAUACUAUAUAGGGUUGGAUAAACAAAUAUGUCUAGUUAUAGAGAAAUUUUACAUUAUUCAAUUUCAACUUCUUUUCUUAAAGAUACUUAGGAUUCAAUAAACAAAUCUCACAGCUAUCCUCAAAUGACACAAGGCCAGAAGUUUUCACUUAACUGUUAUCAAUAUUCAGGAUUUAGUGCACAAAGGUCACAGCUGUCUUCAAACUACACAGGACCAGAAGUUUCUAAAUUAACUGAUAUCAAUUAAACCGGAAUAAAAUUACAAACUAUAUUUCUAUAGAAAGAUUUACUUUUCAGGAGUUCAAAUAAUUUUACGGUUUUCUAUUUGAAGUUUUCUACAUGAAGAUAUGGCUUAAAGAAUGCUGAUUGCUCAGAAUCACUGAAGCAACCAAGCCUCUGAUUAUCAGCCAACUUCCAUGAUUUAACUGUAUUGAUCUAGAAUAUAUGACAUUACAUAAUAUAUAUGUUUGGAUAGGUAAAUGUAUCUAGUUAUGGAAGAAAUUUACAGAAUCAAAUUCGGACUUCUCUUCAGGAUUUAGUGCACAAAGGUCACAGCUGUCUUCAAACUACACAGGGCCAGAAGUUUCUAAAUUAACUGAUAUCAAUUAAAACGGCAUAAAAUUAGAAAAUAUAUAUCUAUAGAAAGAUUUAUUUUUCAGGAGUUCAAAUAAUUUUACGGUUUUCUAUUUGAAGUUUUCUACAUGAAGAUAUGGCUUAAAGAAUGCUGACUGCUCAGAAUCACUGAAGCAACCAAGCCUCUGAUUAUCAGCCAACUUCCAUGAUUUAACUGUAUUGAUCUAGAACAUAUGACAUUACAUAAUAUAUAUGUUUGGAUAGAUAAAUGUAUCUAGUUGUGGAAGAAAUUUACAGAAUCAAAUUCGGACUUCUUAUCUUAGAGAUAUUCAGGAUUUAGUGCACAAAGGUGACAGCAGUCUUCAAACUACACAAGACCAGAAGUUUCUGAAUUAAAUGAUAUCAAUUCCUCAGGAAAAAAAUUAGAACCUAUGUCCCCCUAGAAAGCUCUAUUUGUUAGAAGUUCAAAUAAUUUUACAAUGUUCAAUUUCAAUUUUUCUACAUUAAGAUAUGAUUUAAACAAUACAAACUGCUCAGAAGCAUCGAAACAACCAACUUAAAUGAUGUAUUAGUUCUUUUUUUCAGCCUCUUUCUCCAAGAAGCACGACUGGAAGACAUCAUAUUCUCAGUUCUCUUAUGUUUCUGCGUGCCUUUUUUUUUUUUUUUUUGGUUUGGACAAAUAAUCGAACAAGUGUUUGAUUUUAAAGCAUUGGUCAUUACAUGGUUACAUAGCCAAAAUCUCGUCAUAACCAUUUCUCUGCACAACAACAAAAUAAUCAUAAAAAUUCUAAAUAUCAAAUUACAAAGAACAUAUUAGUACUAAUCUUGUUCAUCAAUAUCCAUCGCUUUUUGUAAUGACAGCUCCCAGAUUUACCUUGAAUAUAAAUUUUUUUCAAAACGAAACAACUUGAUUAAUUGACUAAGAACUCUACUCGAAUUUAGUGCGAUUGAUUGAACAAAAACUCCGCUUAGAUUUGAUCCUUGAUGAGAUACUGUUUAUUCUUUGCCAAGAUGAGUUUGAAUUGUGUUUUGCCGAUAGGAACUUAUUCUACCAACAGUCAAAGUGGCUAACAAAUCGUAUUUGUCAAAACAAAACCGUCUGUAUCAUGGGGUUGGCUCAAUUUCGAGAAAUUUCAGUGACCACCCCUAUAAUUUUAAAUAUUCUCACAAUUUCACUUGAACAACAUAUUUUAUUUAAUUCCACAAAAUUCAUACGAACGUUUAAAUACAUUUUAAAGUUUAUUUUACUAUGUAUCCUACGCCAUUCAUUAUUGGUUUUUUGUAAUUUUAUCAAGUUGUAAUUUCAGGCCAAACAUGAAAGGGUUUCAACAUUUAAUUAAUUUGAAAAUUCAAUGUGAAACUCAAAAUUGCUAAAAUAUUACUUAAAUCAUAUCCUUAAUAUUAUAAGAUAACUCGAUUAUCAUGUAAUCAAACUAAUUUCAAAAUCUAUCGAUCAGAUAUAGUAUGUACUGUUAGAUUAUUUUAUUCUAAUACAUGGCCAUGGAAUAGCCUUUGAUUUCUCAUGGUAUAUUUUAUUGGUUUACUAGCUUAUAAAACCAUAUGCAAAUGUUGAAAAUUGGACUACUAUAUAAAAUAUCAUGUGAUAUAUCUCAUUUGACCUUAGAUUAAUGUAUCAAAUGUUCAUAAAGGAUGGUUUACUUCAUCAGUCUGCGAAUUAACUUUUAAUAAUAUUUAUAUUUCACAUAUCAAUUCAUAAUACAUUAGGGUAAAUACGAUUUUAAUUUCCCACCUAUCAAUAAAUAAGGAUAAAUAGAAUUACUGAAUAUGUGUGCGUAUGUGUAUUACUUCAUAUGUUUUAAUAAGGAGAAUCACAUCUACUAACUUUUUUUCCUUACCAUUUUUAUUACAUUUUACCAGUUGUCUUUUAUAAUACUAUUUUGUAAAAGAAAACUAAAAUUGACUACUCGAAAAUGUCUUUAUAUUUUUUUAUUACAUUUUACAUUAAAGUUGUAGUACAUUAUAAAUGCUAAGUUUAAUUUUUAAUAACAUAACACCUUAAUAAAAUCAACAUCUUAAGUGCGUUGUAUGAUAUAAAAUGAUAUAGUACUUCAAAUAGGCUACAAAAUUAAUAGGAAAAAGACCACUCACGCCUCUAAAUUUUAUUUAAAUGGUCAUACAAAACUUCUUAAAUUAAAAAAAUAUAAUACAUAACAUAAGAUAAAAUUUUAUAAAAUAUUUUCAAUUUUAAAAAUUUUAUUUUUAACAUUAUUAUUUUUCAUAUUCUUUUAUUAUUAGUUUGUCAUAUUCUUUUUACUAAUAUUAAAAUCUACUUGACAUACUAAUAAAAUUAAUUAAUUAUACCUAACAUUCACAAUAAUUUAUAAAAUUAACAAUAUCUUAUUUAAUUAUGUCUAUAUUAAUAUCAAUCUUAAGAUCAAUUUUUGGAUUAAUAUAUUUUAGUUCAUUCGUCAGGAUAGACUAAUAAUAACUUAAUAUUAACAAAAUUUUUAUUGUACAUUUUAUUUUAUCAAUUAUAUUUAUUGUAACACUUUAUUUGUAUCAUAUGAUUUUUAUUUAUUAUUUUUAUCCUAUUACUAUAUUUAUAUUUAUUUAGAUUGAUUUAGUCAAAAGGUAUAAUAGUCAUUUACGAAAUUAAGAGGGUCUAUGUGACUAUUUAUGAAACUAAAGGAACCUAUAUAAUUAUUUUAGCAAAUCUUAGGGGUGUGGGUGGUUUUUUCCGAAAUUAAUAUUGAUUUAAAAUUAAAAAAUUAAUAUUUAUCUGCAACCUGUAAGUUACCUGGUGUAUUUUAAUUAAUUAUCUAAUUAUCUAUUAUAUUAAAUAAAUAAUUCAGAUUAAAACUCUUAUUUCUAAGGGUCCACAUUAGUCCCACUAUCAAUGCUAUAAAAAUAAAUACAGCAUCAUAAAGAAAUUCCAACAAUAAUAAUAAGUAGUCGAAACUCGAAACAACACACUGUGCACUACACAUCUAAACACAUCUAUUUGUUAAUAUCAAUAUCGGACUAUGUAAUAAUAUUCAAAUAAAUUUGUUACAAUUUAAUUACUUGAAAUAAAAAUACAUAUGUAGUAAAGGAAAAUGCAUUCGUUCUUCGUCAGACUAAUAAGUAACAUAUACAAAUGUAGUUUCAUUUUAGUUUUCGACAUACGCGCAUGCCGGAAACAAUUAAAACAAGAAUUAAUUACUUUUACAUUACAAUGUUGUCAGUGCACGUACAAAAUGCACUGUCUGUCCCAACUGGAGACCAGAGCCAACCAAUCACAUACUUCUUCCCCCAUACAGCACUUUAGUUCUUCCCAUCACCUUAUGAUUAACUGGCCAGCAUUUAACUUAGACCGGAUUUUAAACUCCCCAAUUAAGCAUUUCAAGUAAUUGCUUAAUCAAUUAAUUAUUGCCAACGUCUCUGUCAUUCCCUAUUUCUCUCCAUUUUCCAGCUGCACAUCCCCUAGCCUGAUAGCCUCUACUUUCCUUUUUUUUCCAUUUCAUUUAAACUCAAAUCUCCCCUCUCUCUCUCUCUCUCGCCAUCACCAUUAGAAUUUUUCGAAAGUACACUCAUCGCCCACAUGAUUUAACUUGGUCUUAAACCAAAUCUUCAUCAACCCUUGUGGUCAAAUAUUGAAUCCAUAUACACACACACGGUCGUUAGAAGAUCAUACAAUAACCAAGCCCCAUUAGCCAUCCAUGGCUGGCCCUAAACCUUCAAAACCCUCUAUCAUAAGAACAAACGUAUACUCAUUAACCCUAAUUCUCUUUCUCUGUAUUUUCUCCUACCUAUUCGGCCUCUGGCAGCACGGGGGCCCCACGUCCCUCCUCCCCGCCACCACCAGCACCACCACCGUCGUCGAUAUCGCCUGCUCAACAGCAACAGCAACAGCAACCGCCCCGAAAACCAUAGAUUUCACAGCCCAUCACGUGGCGGCCACGUCAUCGGAGGCUGUGAUGAAAACUUACCCUCUGUGCAACAUCUCAUACAGUGAGUACACUCCGUGCCAGGACGGAAAACGAUCCUUGAAAUUUAGCAGGCGCAGGCUGAUAUACAGAGAGAGGCAUUGUCCGGCGAAGAGCGAGCUGCUGAAGUGCCGCGUGCCGGCGCCCUACGGCUACAGGAACCCGUUUGCGUGGCCGACGAGCAGGGAUCUGGUGUGGUAUGCUAAUGUGCCGCACAAGGAGUUGACGGUGGAGAAGGCGGUGCAGAAUUGGAUCAGAUACGAAGGUGAUCGGUUUAGAUUCCCUGGGGGAGGCACCAUGUUCCCUAAUGGUGCUGACGCUUAUAUCGAUGAUAUUGGCAAGUUGAUCAAUCUCAAUGAUGGCUCUAUACGUACCGCCAUUGAUACUGGUUGUGGGGUACGUUAAUCUCUUCUUCUUAAUAUAUAUUUUUUAAUUUAAUUUAGGAUAAAUUUGGUAAUUUUUGAAUUGAUUUGGACAUGUGAAUCGAAGGGCUGGGAAUUGCGAUAGACAUGCCAAAAAAAACGCUUUUUAGCGUCAGUAAAGCGCUUCUCAAAAAAAGCGCUUUUUAGCGUUUUGCACUCGGUUCCAUGUCAUAGGAGUUGUUAAGUGGGAUCUUGUUUGACUUGCAUUACACGCUCCGGGGCAUCCAAUAUCAAUGCACAUUAUAAAUGUGACAAAACCAAAAGAAUAUUUUAUUUCAUUGUUAUUUAAAUGAAAUUAAUGGAAAUUGGGUUCAUCAAGGGUCAAAAUUAUUUUAAUAGGUAAUUAAAUUAAAUUAUGUAGGUGGCAAGUUGGGGGGCGUAUCUUCUGUCACGCAACAUCAUAACAAUGUCAUUUGCACCAAGGGACACGCAUGAAGCUCAAGUUCAAUUCGCUUUAGAGCGUGGGGUGCCUGCUUUAAUUGGAGUCCUCGCCGCUGAGAGGCUUCCUUAUCCGUCCAGAGCUUUUGAUAUGGCCCAUUGCUCUCGCUGCCUUAUUCCUUGGAACCAAUUCGGUACACUUUAAUUUUAUAUUCUACUAAUGUGGACGUUAAUAUUUCUUGAUUAAUAUUGUGUUUUAAUUAAAUGUUUAAUUAUAUCUUGUAUAGUUAUUUUUAUUGUUAAUACACACACACACAUAUAUAUAGGUGGGAUUUAUUUGAUAGAAGUUGAUCGAGUGCUACGACCUAGAGGGUACUGGAUUUUAUCUGGCCCUCCGAUUAAUUGGAAGAAGCAUGCGAGAGGCUGGCAAAGAACAAAAGAGGAUUUGAAUAAGGAACAAACUGCUAUUGAAAAUGUAGCUAAGAGUCUUUGCUGGGAAAAAAUAAAGGAGAAAGGCGAUAUUGCUAUCUGGCGAAAGCCUAUUAAUCAUUUGAACUGUAAAACAAAUCAAAAACUCUCUCAGAAUCCACCUUUCUGCCCGGUUCAGGAUCCAGAUAAAGCCUGGUUCGUCUUCCUUUUAGUUUAAACCAAAUUUAACAUUAUGUAUUUUCAUUUUAACUGUUAUCUUAAGUGUAUUCUUGAAUUGAUUUUUCAGGUACACACAAAUGGGUACUUGUUUGACUCGUUUACCUGAAGUUUCAAGUAAUCGGGAGACUGCUGGGGGUGAAUUGGCAAAAUGGCCCCAGAGACUCAAUGCAGUCCCACCAAGGAUUAGUAAAGGAACUGUGAAAGGGAUCACUCCUGAGAUCUUUCAGCAAAAUUCUGAGCUAUGGAAGAAGAGAUUGUCGUAUUAUAAAGCAAUGAACAAUCAAUUAGGCCAAUCCGGACGGUACCGUAACAUACUAGACAUGAAUGCUCACUUGGGAGGUUUCGCUGCUGCUCUUAUUGAUUUCCCGGUUUGGGUCAUGAAUGUUGUUCCUGCUGAGGCUAAAAUCAACACUCUUGGAGUCAUAUACGAAAGAGGCCUAAUCGGAACAUAUACCAAUUGGUAAACAUAAUUCAUAAUACCUGUGUUUGAUUCACAGCUACAUUUAAAAUCAAAAUUUUUAAUUUAUGUACUUGUCUGUUAUGGUGCAGGUGUGAGGCAAUGUCAACUUAUCCCAGAACUUAUGACCUUAUUCAUGCUGAUUCUGUGUUUAGUCUCUACAAAGACCGGUAAUUAAUUAAUUAAUUAUACGCGAACAUGAUUUUUGUACUUAAUAAUAAGGACUUGAUUUGAUGUGAGCAUUUGUGUUGCAGAUGUGAAACGGAAGAUAUUUUGCUAGAAAUGGAUCGAAUUCUAAGACCCGAAGGGGGUGUAAUCUUCAGAGACGACGUUGAUGAGUUGGUGAAGGUGAAGAGGAUCAUUGAUGCAUUGAAAUGGCAAAGCCAAAUUGUUGAUCAUGAAGAUGGACCUCUGGAGAGGGAAAAGCUUCUGUUUGCUGUUAAAUUAUAUUGGACUGCGCCCGCUGAAGAAACUGCCUCUGAAUCUUCAUAAUAAAGCUUUUUUACUUUGUAGUUGUAUUUUUCGUUAUUCUUUUUCUUUUAACUCAUUCUUUCAGAUUAGUUCAUUAAUUGCAACCAAUCUGGCUUAUAAAAUGCUUGCAUUUUGCGUCCCUUUUCAUAAAAUAAAACAAAUCAUAGUUUCAGCAGGUGCCAAGCCAUAAUUUCAGCUUAUUUUUUUUAAAAAAAACCUCUAUUACAUUCUCUCUUUCUAAACAAGGAACAGGAUCGAGUGUAUUAAUCCAUCGAGCAAGGAGAUCUAGAUCAAGAAUCCAUACCAUUUAGUACUUCAAAAUAUAUAUAUAAAAAAAUUUGGUCAAACAGAGGGAAUUCAAUUUAUUAAAAUUAAAUGCAUUAAUUCAAACUCUGCAAUUUGAACUAAUUGAAAUGGCAGGCAUGAUAGCGCAAGAAUUUUUAUCGAGAUAUUCAGAAAAUUCUUCAGUAUGCCCAUUAGAAACUUGUGCAUCACCUAACAAUCUGGGAAUCCAUCACGAUAACCCUGAGUUCAAAAGUUCAGUUGGUUGAAUCAUGCAAAAGGUCACCGCUUACUAUCAAGAAACCAACUAUAAAUUAACCUUCAUGCGAAGAAGCUAAACACACAAGAAUUAAAGAAAGCAAAAGCAAUAAGAGCUAGAUAAACUAAUCAAUUAGUGAUGGCGGCAAUCAAGUCAAUGGUUUCCCUCAGCACCAAAGCUGCAUUGCUUCUUCUGCUUAUAGCGGUAGCAGUGCAAACCCAGAUGACUAAUGCACAGAGCUGCACGUCUGAGCUCACCAACCUCAACUCCUGUGCUCCGUAUGUGGUCCCUGGCGUCGCGACCACAACUCCUUCCUCUGACUGCUGCGCCGCCCUCCAGUCUGUGGAUCGCGACUGCUUCUGCAACACCGUGAGGAUCGCGGCUCGCCUUCCUAGCCAAUGCAAUCUCCCACCUCUCAGUUGCACUCCUUGAUUGGUAGUAAGCACAUGCUUUAUUACUCUUAAUUAGCGUAACUUCUUUUUGACACAGCGGUAAUAAUAAUCCUUCUUAGUCUAUAUGCAGUGAUGCAGGCCAAGAAUCAAUGCUUGGAGCCCAAGCGAGAGUUGUCAGCAAAUAAUGGCGGUUUUUUUUUUUAAAAAAAUUUUCAAUGUCGCGUUUUAUGUAAGAGUCUGAUACGUGACUGAACUGUCAGUCAAGAUCAGACUACUUGGUUAUAUGAAUUGAAGAGCAAUAAUAAUAAUAAUAAUAAUGAUGAUAUAUUAAACAUAACAUGAGCAGUUUUUUUGUAUUUGCCUUUACAUUACAAAAUUUACUUGCAUGGCAAACAAUCAUAUGCAUAUCUGUCACUUGCACUAAGUAGCAUUUGUUAGUCAUUAAAAAGAGAGAAUAAAAGCCUGUUCGCUAAUAGUACAUUUCAAUCACAGGCUAUUGAACAAACAACCCUUUUAAACUCUUAUGACACCCGACCUAUUAUACGUAUAGUUCUUAUUUUGAUAAAAAAAAAAAAAUUAUAGAAAAUGACAAACGAUCAAAAUUGAGUUUGAUUAAAUAUUAAACAUAACUUUUUAUAAUUAAAAAUCUUAUCAUUGCCUCAAAAUUCUUUAUGUCAUUUAAAGAUAGGAGGGUUCAUGAUUUACAAGUGUAAGAAUAUAUUAAUUUAGUUGAAUUCAUGUUUGUCCUUUUGUGUUGAUAGAACCGUGGUCAUAGACGUGGGGUUAUAGGGACUGUAGGCCGGUGUGAAAAGCACCACUCACUGCAAAAGGCUUCGAGGAUCGACUCGGGCCCUUUUAUUGAGACCAGAAAUCCAAUUGGGCCCUUUAAUAUAUAUAUAUAUAUAUAUAUACCGCAGCUGACACAGAAAUGCUUCAAGAUUUGAGGGUUUUUUUUUUUCUUUUUAAUAUUAGCACACAGAAAUCCAGUCGGUCGAUGUUGAUGGGACUUUAUAAUAUUAGCACGCGUCACACGCAGAGGGUGCUCAGAUUCGUGAUAUAAUAAUGCAAGGUGCUUUGAUUUUGGUUUAGGUUCAGUAUCACAUCAGCAAAUGGUACGUGUAAAGGUGAAUACGGACCUGCCUGUUAGCGUUGGGUUGGGUGUGGUUGGAGGAGGGACCAAAGCAUUUAAUUUGAAAAAUCAAAAUGUUUCGGUGACUAAUAAACUAAAUGACGACUUCAAACAAGAAGAAAAAUUCGUACUUUGUAAUUACCCGUUUUCAUUACCUUGACACGAAUAAAUCAUUGAAUAUAUAGGGAUUAUAGAAAUUAAAUUGGGAGGAUGUCCCAUUUAGUUGUGCUUUGGCUAUUCUUGUAAUUAUGUUUAUGUUCAUCACAUACAACAAAUCAUACAUCCUAAUCCAAUGUUCUUUUUUUCUUAACCAAUAAUAAUAAUAAUAAUGAUAAAAUUAUAAAAAAUUUAAAAAAAAUCACCGCUAAAAUGGAGCUAAGAUCUUAAUUUAUUAGAUUAAGGUUUAAAAAUAUGUAUUUGUGUCUUUUUUUUCAUAUUUCCGUUCUUUUAUUUAGACCAAAGAAUUCUAUAUUCAAACAUUUGUUAAAAAUAAAUAAUAAUAAUAAUAAUAAUAAUAAUACAACAACAUGUCUUUGCAAUUCGAGAAAUUUUAUUCAUAAUAUUUUAAAUAAUGAUGUCGUAUUUAUAUGGUUGAGAUAUAUAAUUUUUUUUCCACCUAUCAAUAAUUGUGUUGUGUGUAUGGUGCUGAUUGAUUUUAUUAUCUAAUUAUCAUCUUACUAAUUUUACAUAUUUUAUUAAUGACAACAAGUGAUACUUCAUAUGUCACAUUUGUUAAGAUAUAACCAUACAACUAUGUAUGGUUAUACCUAUACAACUAUGUCAGUAUAAUAUCAUUUUAAAAAUAUAAUUUAUUAAUAUUUUUCAUAAUGAACUAAUCUAAACAAUGCUGCUUAUUCGUUAAGAUAUUUUUCAUACAACUAUGUCAGUUCAUUAUCUUUUUUUUUUUUUUUUUGGGAAUAAAAAUAGUAACGAUAAUAAUUACUUUUAGCCAAAAAAAAUGAAAUUACAACAAAAUUAAAGUCAAUGAGUCUUGCAUCACCAUAGGCAGCUCCCCGCCUUCACGUGAGGAUAUCAGUUAAGCCACCUGCAAGCCCACGGUCAGUCCCACAUUCACACGCGCACAAUAGUAAAGAAUCAAACACCGCGCGUGUUUCACAAACUGUUUAAAUCGCGUCUACAUGAACUGCUCUCCAUUCCCCAGCAAAACAGCUACUUAAAUCUUUUCGGUUCGCUUCUUCAGAACACACAACACAAGUCUUCACAAGUCUUGCUACUUGCCACUUUACAUUGAGCUUUCGUCACCCAAGUCAUCCCAAAACGGUUCGUUUCGUUUCAAUUCGUUCUAAACCUUCCGGCAAUGAAACAUGGGCUUUUUUCGGCGACUUUUUGGCGCCAAAAAGGCCGGGACCCACUCAUCGUCGAAGGAGAAGAGAAGGUGGAGCUUCACCUCUAGAUCCUCCUCCAAACAAACGACGCCGUCUCAGUCUCAGUCCCAGCCUCAGUCUCUGCCUCAGGCCACCAAGCCCGACGCCUCGUACGAAGCAAAUUUGGAUGCCAACAAGCACGCCAUAGCCGUCGCCGCCGCCACUGCCGCCGUAGCCGAGGCGGCGCUCGCUGCUGCUCAUGCCGCCGCCGAGGUUGUUAGAUUGACGAGUACCGGUGGCCGUGGUGCUGGUGUUGCUGCUCCCCCCGGCGCUCACGUUAGGUGGCAACACGAACUUGCGGCGGUCAGAAUACAGUGCGCAUUUCGAGGCUAUCUGGUCAGUAACUUAAUUACUAGCAUUUACUUUCUAUCUAUCAAGAUUUAUUUUUUUAUUUUUUUUAAAUUCAGCGGUCGGCUUGUUUGUUUCCUGAGAAAACGCAGGACAAAGAAAGAAAAAAAGUUGCAAAAUUUGAAUUCUGGAUACUGUUACUUCUUUGUUUCUCAAUCUUGAUUAUCAAGAUAUCUUUUUUUUUUAAAAUUCAGUGGUCAGCUUGUUUGUUUCCUGAGAAAACGCAGGAAAAGGAAAAAAAAUUUGCAAAUUUUGAAUACUGGAUACUGUUACUUCUUUGUUUCUCAGCCUCAUUUAAAAGUUCAAAAAUUUGAAUUCCGGGUACUGUUAUUUCUCUGUUUCUCAGUCUCAUUUUCUGCAAUUUGAGAUCGAAAAUCAAAGGCAAAGACUUUUUUUUUUCAUGAAAAAAAAGAAUCUUACUUUUUAACUCUCGAGGAUUCUUUUGUUUUGCUUUUCAUUUUGUAAAUCAGUUUUUCAAAAAUAAUUUUAAGAUAUUAUACCGAACGGCUAAACAAAGCAUUAUUGGGGAUCUGGCGGAAUGGAAGUGUUUGUUUUUCCUCCGUGUUUCCAAGAAUUAUGUUGCAACUAACUAAUCUAAAACGGGUAGAUUCUUCAAGUUGAAGGGUAAAUGGUCCCAACAUAUAAAAAAUAAAAAUAAAAAACAGAAGAAAAAACAAGAAAAGACAGCAACAGUUUGAUAGCCAUUGCUCUGCCCACAAAACUCAAAUUUGCGCCGACACAAGUGGGUGAUGGGUGAAUUUUUAACUGAUUCCCUGUUAUCCACGGUGCUUACUGUCUCUGUUUUCUGUGCUUCCAUUUUAAUUUCAAAAUUCUCCGUUCGCACGUGCCAAGUCCUCGCACGUUCCUACCCUUGUGAGAGUAGUCUAUUAAUUAUGAUGACGUGGCUGCCUGUGGUUGGGUUUGAUAGUGAAUUGAAAGUGUUGACCAGUAGUGGUGAGAUGUUGUGCUGCUACAUUAAACUUGAACGACAAGUCUGACCAAAUAUGGAAUCAUCUUUGUCUUCAAUUUAUUUAUUAUUUCUUUUUUUUGGGUUGGUAUUUGGACUUAUCUUUGUCUUCAAUCUUACAACUUUUUUUUGUUUUUGGUGGCUCCACUAUGUCUGGCCCAAAAAAAUAGACUCUACUGUGCAUGAGCAUGUAUACACAGGCAGAAAUGAUAUAGUAACUUUGCUCAUUAAUAGUGAGCAAUUGAACGCAUAGCGGCAAUUUUGUAACUAUUCUUUGAACAGUGUUGAAAUUUGUGAAUUUUUUUUUAAAAGGAAAAAAAUGCAACUGCUACUUGGUCAAUGACCAUAACACUAGCAAUGGCGCCUACUAGACUCUCUUGGUUUAUAUUUGAAGUGUAGUGAAACUGGAGGCUAAAUCCACUCUUCAUACAUGUGAGUGGGUUUGAACUCAGACCUCUUUAUGACCCAUGAAUAUAAUUAACCAUUGUUGGAUUUCUAGAAUUUUUUGCAUGUGAAAGAUGCUACAAUCUCUGUCAAUAUUCCCAUUAGAUUAGCCUUUAGGCAUUAACUUUAUGAGCAACUUUGAUUUUAUUCUUUUAUUUUUUAUAGAAGAAUCUCAAUCAAUAUUCCCAAAGCUUGCCAUCAUGAAUGUUCAGGAAAAAGAGCUUACGUUUAGUUUGGCUGAACUCUGAAGUUAAUUAUUCCUCCCUGACAGUUUAAAGUUUUAAUGAUUUUUUUUUUUUUUUUUGCUUUUUGGGUGCAAAAUUUUAAUGAUUGAUUUUAAAAUUAUGCUUAGGUUAGAGAUUCAUCAUUUUUCUUUACUUUACUGGGCCUUUUUCUGUUUGGUAUGUGUGAGAGAGAAUGAUUUCACCCAUGCUUCUCUCCCUUUGGUUUUACAUGCUAAUCUGUUGCAUAUCCUUUUAAACUCCUGGAUCCCUGUGCCAUCAAAGCUUUUUAGAUUUUAUGUCAUGUUCAAUGUCAUGGUAUGUACUUUUUGAUAUUAGAAAAAAAAAAAAACCCAACAUCCUGGGUGAGUUAAUUAUCAUUUAUUGAAUUGGAUUGUUUUGAUAUUUUGGGAUGAAAAUGGGCGUCUGAUCCAUCAUUUCUUAUGUUGAUCUGAAGGCAAGGAGGGCACUGAAGGCACUGAAAGCAUUGGUGAAGCUUCAGGCACUGGUGAGAGGUCACAUUGUGAGGAAGCAAACAGCAGAUAUGCUAAAGCGCAUGCAAACAUUAGUCAAAGUGCAGGCACGGGUCCGUGCUAGUCGCACUCCCACGUCAGAAUCUUUGCUUUCUAGCAGCAAAUCAUCUCUUUCUCGCAGUACGGUAAGCCAGAGUUAUUAUUCUCACCUUAAUCUGUUUUUCGGCAAGGUUUAGUGAUUAGUUUCUCCAGUGAGAAGCAUGAUUAAAAAUAAUGACCCACGAUUCUCAAUACACAUGCAUUGUAGCUUUUAAGGGACCACAUUCUGAAUUUACCUAAUUAGAUUCAUGUUCCAUAUGUCUUUUUAUAAGACAAAGAUCAAUUUCUUUGCAAAAUUGUAUUUUAAUUAAGGCAUGGGGCUCAGAAAAAAGUGCCACUGAUCUGAGCCAGAGAGCCACAGUAUUUUCUUACGCUACUUUUUGACAUUAAAUGCCAAAAGUAUUGACUAAAGAGAGACCUUUAUUUUCGGAUUGGUUCAUGGGAUUUCUGCAUACUAGUAUUCGGUUGAUAUGGGUCAUUAUUUCAGUUGCAAAUUGACAAUUCAGGAGCGGAGUUAGGUCUUAUUUUUACCUAAUAAAGUUUUGAAUUUUAUAUUCUGUGCCUUGGUUUGCAGAAUUUAAAGGGGCCAAAAUAGACUGCUUUUCACAUGGUGAAACAAAAUCGUAAGCAUUUGGCUACCAGUAGUAAUUUAGAGUCUCUCACAUACUGUAUUAAUAUUAAUACAACUGAGUGUCGUAGUAGGGAAUUUUUGAUUUAUUAAUAAUUGAAUAAAAUUCUUGAAUUGCAUGAGUAAUUUGCUCUUUUCAAUAAUUGAACAAAAUUCUUGAACUGACUUUUAGGUUCCCCGAAGUCCUGACAAAUCAGAGAACCAAUUUCGUGCUUACAGUACUAAAGUUAAUGGCCCCUCCAUCCUGAAGGACUAGAGUGGUUUUGUAGAAUCAUCUAUUUACAUAUUUCUAUGCGUAUACAAUUCUUACAAAGAACUUAUUUUGUGUUCUCAGAAACUUUUCUCAAGUCUUUAUGAUACGUACUCCCGUUCUUUUUUUAUACAUGUUAUAUAUGUUAGAGAGAAGUACAAUAUAAAUUCCAGUGAAAUUUUAGAAUUAGCUUCUGAACAUUGAUCUUGAUCUCAUCAAAAAGUUCUACCAUGCAAGGCAACUCUAAUGGUAGUCUGUUUCAUUUGAUGCAGAGAUGUGGUUCCAGUUCGAACUUUGGAGAUAUCACUGACCUAGACAAAGGACGGUUGGGUUCAAAUUGGUUAGAUCGUUGGAUGGAAGAAAGUGUAUGGAACGGCCAUAGAGUAAGUCAACUUAAAAGUGGACCUCCUGCAGAUGAUGAGAAGAGUGACAAGAUCUUGGAAGUAGAUACAUGGAAGCCUCACUUGAACCCCCGACAACAUAAUAGAGUCAUUCGAUCCUCACCGCAUGGUUCUGCUUUGGAUUAUAACAAUCACAGCUACAUGACAAUCGACUCUCCAUCAAAAUUAUCAGUAAAAAAUAUGAAUCCAAUCCCAAGUGUAUCUCCAGGGGAGGUUUUAUCAUUGAGCUCACUGAAAGUUCCGGUGGGAAAAAGUGAUGCAGCUUUGAGGACUGCUGAUAACAGCCCGCAAGUAUCAUCUGCAUCAUAUAGACCUGGAAGUAGUGCAAGAAGAGGCCCUUUCACGCCCACAAGAAGUGAGUAUUCAUGGGGCUACUUUAGUGGAUGCAUAGGCCACCCAAAUUAUAUGGCUAACACGGAAUCAUCACGAGCGAAGGUCAGAUCACUGAGCGCCCCAAGGCAAAGACUUGAGCUCGAGAGAUAUGGUUCAACCAAGAGGUCAGCUCACGGGUUUUGGGAUGGUAGCAUUAAUUCCGAAAGAGAUUUUGCUCAACAUGCUGACUUCAGGAACAGAGCUUCUCCAACAUCUGACCGGUUGAGUAAAUUCGGGAGCAUAAAUUUAAGGUGAUGCUGCACGUUUGCUUUCAUUUUUCACUUUUGUAAGUUUCGCUUUCGCUUUCCAAGUGUAUGGGAGUUUGCUGGUGUUGUAAUUAAAUGACUAUUGCCUUACAAUUAAACUUAGUCUUGUACAAGCGAAGAACAUUGUCAAUGUUGAAAAUGGACAUAGUUUUCAGUUUGUAUUUGAGUAAGAAGCAUUAUCGAGCGCCGCUUACACGAUUUUAAUGAGUGUAAAAACUAUUUAAUGUAACUCAUAACUUGAGUCAUGUGACAAAAAACUUAAACUGAGCGAAAAGCUUGGUUUGAUGUAUUGAUGGUGCCAAAGCACUGUAGUUUUGCCUUAAUUAGCCAUCGUUUUUCAAUUGUCACACGAUGGGAUGUUUUAAAAGUGAGUUUUCUCGUAACUUUUGGAUUGCACGCGCUUGGAAAAUGAGACAAACCAAAUGAAAUCGCACUGUUCUGACAAUAAGCGAAUUAGUGGAUUCGACAUUUGCUAUUUGCUCACUUUUGGUAAAUAACUGCACGAGCCAAAGUUACUGAAGGUUGGCAUCUCGAUUAUCACCCCAAUUUGCAUGUAUAUAUAACGACUGUAGAUUCACGGAGGUUGGAUUUGCGGUGGCCCCAUUUGCCCCACAAAGGAUUUUGUCUGAACCGGCGACACAGCGAAGUGACAUUAAAAGCUAUAACAAAACAAAACCAAAUUAAUUAACCUUGGAUACCUACAGCACAACUACAGGGCCAGUGGAUUAUACAAUGGAAGAAUAAUCUUGAUGACAAGCAAAACAGAUGGUUGUGUGGCAGUUGAGGACAUUGAAAGAGAAGCGAGAUUUGGUCAAUUUCUGACCAGAAACAUCAAACGCAUAUAUAAUGCAUGUGCCGUAAAUGCACCACGUGAAACCAAAAAAUAAUCCAAAUAAUUAAUGAACAUAUGCACAUAUGCAUUAGGACUGGACAAAGUCGGAUUCAAAUCAAUCCGAUCAUAUUUCGAGUUGAUCGGGUUAGACAAAAGUUCAUCCAAAUUUAACCUAAAUCUAUAAUUCGAUUUGAUCUGAUCUGAAUUACAAUCGAAUCGAAUCAAAAGUUUAGGUUGAGUUCAGUUCGGAUCGAGUUUGGAUUAGAUAUGGUUCAAAUUGGAUUCAGGUCAAUACGGGUUGAGCGAAAUCGGAUCAAUAAAAUUUUGGGUCAAUUACUAAUUAACAAUUUAACAUAUAAUAUAUAAUAUAUUACACAUUACAACUAUAUAGUGUAUACCAUCGAAGGCUGGAAGCUUCAAAAGGGAAAUUCGGGUUGCUGUUUGCUGUGUUCGGAUGGAGCUUGGAGGAGGAAAUUGAUGAUGGUGGAGGCGUGAACAUCAUAUCUAGCAGCAAUCCUCGUGGAGUAGUAGAUUCAGUUGGCAUCGGCGGUGACUACCGUUGAUGCCAGAAUCCGAUUGAGUUGCUUAGUGACUCGAUCUUAGAUCCCUACAUCAGCAUUAAAUUUAUGUGGUGGUGGAACGACUUCCCAAUCAUCAAGAAUGCCCUGCGACCACUUGUAAAUAACCAGCGAACACCUGAAAUCACAAAAAACAAUAAAAGGCGCCAGAAGUUUUUCUAGCGUGAAUCCUCCGACGCUCAAGUCAGUUUAUGAGUUUACUAGAAUAAGAGUAAAUAAAAUAAAUAGUUUUUGAUCUUUUGUAAAGAUGGAUGAAGACUCUUUAAUAGUGAAAAGAGUAAAAACAAUAUACUAGAGAGAGAAAAGUUGAACCCUCAUAAACACCUCAAACCCAUGAUCUUAGAUCAUAGCAAUAACCAUUAAUGAAUUAAAUUCGCACCCUGAUUUUUUCGGACAAGAUCUUUGGUGGUUCAUUUUGACUAAGUCUUGCUUUUUGCUGAUUUGGUUCAAUAUCUUCUCAAACUCAUCUACUCAAGAUCACCUGAAUUGCCUGCUGGUCAAGGUGGUCUGCUCAACCAUUUGCUCACUUUACUUGGAAGAGAUCAUGGUCACCCUAUUUUAUUUCCCAAACAACUGUGGCAAAAUCGGAUUGCUGCGUCUUGUGAUUGGCUGUCACUUUAUUUUCUGAUGUGUUUCUGACGUGUUGUAUGUCAAACCCUGAGCGUGAAGAGUGGAGACUCCACGUAUAUGUGUGAAUGUUUUAUUGUUUCUCGUCUUCUUAAGAGUGAGAUGUUAUGUGUGAAUGUUUUAUUGUUUCUCGUCUUCUUAAGAGUGAGAUGAGAAGUUGAGGGAGGUUGUCGUUGCUCUUUGGGUGUCGGUUGUGUCUGUGUUUCUAUUUUCUAAGUUGAGCUAUUCUGCUAUUGACUUGAGGGUGAGAGAUGCUGUUGUGUGCUACAUAUGUGUGUAGUGUGUGAGGCUGUGAGCUUUGCUUUUUAAUUUUUUUUUUUUUUUUUUGAAGCUAACCCGAUUGGGUUUUCAGUUCACCCAAUCCGAUCAUGAUUCGAUCGGGUUGGCAAAAUUACAUCAUAUCAAAUAUUGUCUUCAAUAUGAUCUUAUCUUAACCUAAUUUUUCCGAAUCAAAUCAGGCUGGGUCGGAUCGAAAUUUUUGCCCAACCUUAGUAUGCAACCCAACGUGUGUAUUUCAUGUUACGUAUUAAGAAUGUUCGAAACUUAAGUUGGUGGGUAAAAUCAAUAAGCUAGCAAAAUUGACAACAGUAUCAAGUUCAGUUAUAAUAGGAGCUAUAGUUUUAGCGACUCAUUAGGGUUAUUUCUGUUUGAAAAAUAAAAUUACAUUAAUGGCCAGCUCCCCUUCUUUGCAGCUGAAGAUCGAAAGGAUCCUUAUUUGAUCUCCCACGUGAAGAUGCGUAUCUUCCCUAUACCAACUUCAUGUCUUUGAUUCCCACUUCAUGGAAUGCUGCAUCAGUUUUCAAAUAUCAAAUAAAUAAUGUUACCAUGAAAUAUAAAAUUGUUACAAUCGAACCUGCAAAUUGAUCAACCAAAAGAAUAUGUAUGAGCCACUUGGGCUCAUUGAUCGGAUGGUUAAACACUAUCUUUGGAGCAAAAAAUAUUGUUUUGCUUGGGCCAGGAAAGCAAAAGACCAUUUUUACCGCAACCAGAAUGUUUUGGUGUUUUGCCUAUCCCAGAAAAUAACAUUGUUGUCAUACAAGGCAAUGAUUUGAGUUCCCAUGGAGACUCAUUUCUCCCUUGUUAGUCAUAGAUUUCUAAACUACAGUCGACAGACUCUUAAUCGACAAUGGUAUGAAAAUUAGAGGCUCAGGAAGGGCCCUGAAUUUCAAUAUCAGUAUAUUGUAAUAUAAUUGUGGAAAACAAAAACAAAAACAAAAAAAAAGUGAAAAGGUACAAAGGAAUAGAAAGGAAAUACUAGCUGCAAUCGGUGUUAGGAUCAAUGACGAAGCCCAAAGCAACACCACAGAAGCCAGGAAGAGUAGCAAUAGCAGUGGCAUUGGUAUUGUAAGUGGAAAUGAGGUCCAUCAAGCAACUACAAACGGACUGCUUGUUCUCUGUAGUAUCUGCAAUUACAUUAAGGCUGUUCACGCCCUCACAGCAUGGUGAGCCGGGCAUUGGGUCGGGGAAGCCAUGCUCGAUGAAGCUCGAGCAUGAAGAGACUAGUGUUGUCACUGUGGUGCAGUCUACCUCCGCCAAUGCCCAAUUGAACAAGCCCAACCACGUUAGCAAGACUGAAAUUGAAAUUGCUAUUAGGGUUUUGUGGGACUGCAUUUUAUUAAUUAAGUGCAUCAAAUUGAUAAUUUCAAUUAAGUUGCGUAGUAAAUUGGAAAGUUUAUAGUGUUGAUUAAAGUGGGGUUGGUGUGAAAUGAAGAACGUGUGUGCUCCUUCACUAAGGUUGAAUGAGUUUCUAGUCAUGCACCUGAACAUAUAGCAAGACAUUACAGUCAAUAUGGUACCUCUAAUCUAAUGUACAAAAACAUGUCUGUGUUAUUGUCAUGUUGCUUUCUUAUUUAUUGCAUUUAUUUUCCACGUUUCUUCGUUCAAUUGAAUUGUGUGUUUGUAAGAAUAGUUUAUGUACAUGAAUAAUAGUUUAUUUAAACCUUUAUUUUUCACUCUGCAUUAAUUUAGACAUAAGUGGUGUCGUGGUGUAGUUGGUUAUCACGUCAGUCUAACACACUGAAGGUCUCCGGUUCGAGUCCGGGCGACGCCAUGUUCUAUUUAAACGGAACUUUUAAUUCCAUUAAAAUAAUAACCCGUAAAUAAUUUCUCAAUUUUCGAAUUUUACAAUUAUAAAACAUCUCAUCAUUACUUUUUUACAAUUUUUUUUUUUCAAAAAUUCACUAAUUGGAGUUAGGGGUGGGCAAAAUACUCGACCCGAUCCGACCCGAAAAAUUUCGGGUUCGGGUCGGAUCGGGUUGUUAAUAUAGCCCGAUCGGAUGAAAUAUUGCAAACCCGAUCGGGUUGUGAUCUGAUCGGAUAAAACCCGAUCCGAUCCGAAAACCCGAUCGGGUUGCUAAAAAAAAAAAAAAAUUCUAUGGCCAAACACACACACACGGCACACAGCACACCACACAUAAUCACACAAAUCAGUGAAAUCACAUACUCAAAAGGUUACACUUUACAGUUUACACAAACAUAAAACACACACAAACAAAAAAAUCACAACACUCAACCCGUGAACCCACCCUCAAGAAGCAAGAAAACAUUCUCUCCUUCCCGCAAUUUGCUGUUCUUGUGUUACGAGUCCGGCCAUCUGCUGCUGCAUCAGCGAUCUGCUGUUGCCGUGCUGUUGUCAUGUUGCUGCAGUCUUGCGUCCAGCCAUCUACUGCUGCGUCCACGAUCUGCUGCCGCCGUGCUGCGUCCAGCCAUCGCGAGGAAACUGCUGCGCGUCCAGUCGUGCGCAAACUGCUGCUGCACGCCCACCGAUCUGCUGCCGAAAACCCAGCCACCGAUCUGCUGCUCCAAGGCUCAAUCUCCAACCCGACCCGAGUUUCUCCCUUAGUCCCUUAUGUGUUUUGAAUUUUGAAGCUUUCAUGGUGUAUUGGUAUAUAUGUUUUGAAUUGACCCGUUUUCAUCAACCCGAAUUUAAUAUGAUCCAUUUUUAAUUCGAAUCGAUUCAAUCCGAAUUCAACCCGAUUUUUGACCCGAUCCGAACCGAUCUAAAUAUAUAUCGGAUCGGAUCGGGUCGAGUUGUAAGUUCGGGUUGUAUUCGGAUCAAUGUUUGCACAACCCGAUCGGGUUGACCCGAACCCGACCCGAACCCGAUUUUGCCCACCCCUAAUUGGAGUAACUUCUGGUCUUCUGCUAUGCAACUGUUGUCAGGGGCGGAUCCAGGAUUUAAUAUUACUCCGGACUAAAUUUUAAAAUUUAUAUUUUGAAGCAAACAUAAAAAUUUAUAAGUAGAAAUAAGUAUAUUAAAUAAGGAGAAAUACCAAGAACUUUAUCUCUCUAAAUAUGUACUAUAAACAAAAAUAAUUAUAAAAAAAGAGUAGAAAACAAAAGACAACUCAAAUAUGAAAAUAUUAUUUUUUAAUUAUAGAAUUUGACAUUGCAACCUAUAAUAACUUAUAAUUAUAUAAAGAUUAAAAUAUCAAUUAAGAAUUUUAAAUUAAAAUAGAUCAAUACAUGUAAUUACAAUCAAUUAAAAAUUACAAGUAAAACUUUUAUGCUUGAAGUGAAUUACUAAAUUACUCGACUUAAUAAAUUAAAUAAUUAAAAUUUAUUCAUCCUUUCAAAUUGUAAAAGUAUUUUUAGUCAAAAGUUUCAAUAAAUAAACUAAACUCAAUUCAGCAAAAAAAUAUUUGGGUGCAGUUGUUUCUUUGUCAGAUGCUUUAUCUUUCUUUAAAGAAUUAGAAGUUGAUGAUUCUUCUAUUAAAAGCUCUUAAAAUACCCAAAUUUUAUUUUCUAACUUGUCCUCUUAGUUAAUAUAACUAAUAAAUAAAAUCUGAAAAUUCACAUUAAAAUUUUAUGAAAAUAUUGAUAAUUGUUACUAUAUCUUAUUUAUGUAAGUACUUUUAAGUCUAGUGAUGAUGUUAUAUUACAUUGACAUAUAUAUUUUUUAAUUAGAAGCUUUUUAAAAUAAAUUAAAGCAGUAAUAAAAUUUUAACACCCUAAUGUUUUCAAUCUAUUCAAUAAAUAUAUAAUUUAAUCAUUUUAUAAAAUAAGUCACUAAUUUCAAUUGAAAAUAAUAUAAUUGACUUAAGAACAUAUUUAUAAAUAAAAUAAAAACUCUAUUAUUAUAUAAAAUUAAUGAAAACAUAUGGGUAAUUGAGUUGCCCCGAAAUGACCCGGCCCGAUAGGGAAAUCCCAAUUCAUUGGGCCUUUUGAUACAAUCAAAUAGAAAGCCCCAGGGGCACUUUAUUCUAGGAGCCCAGACUAUGUGAUUGAAUAAAUCCUCCUCUAUCUGUUGUGGGUCGAGGACUCCUUCUCCUUCCCCUUCUUCAAACUCCGAUUCGUAUUUUUCAUAGAGAAAUCUCUUAUCAACGAUAGAACAAGAUCCUUUUUACAUCAUAUCUAAGGGAUUCCUUGGUUCGGGCCAAAGAAGCAAUGUCACUCGAUCAUUAUCAAACCGACUGCAAUCUUUUUCUGUCCGCGAGGAUCCCACCAGAGCGCCUUCUACUUAGGGACAUAUUUAAAUAUAAAAUGAAAAUUCUAUUGUUAUACUAAAUUGAUGAAAAUAUAAGGUAGUUGAG